UGAACAACUUAAGGAAGUUGCCACAAAAAAUGUUGUCUGAGUGCCCCGGCAGCCAGCCUCAAGCGGACACUCAGGGAACCGCAGGAAGCUUGCACAAAAACACUAACAAAUCUGAUUGCAGAUCUUUAUUUCAUGUAUUGCACAUGUGCUCAGUUCGCAAACCAUUUUACUUACCUCUGCUUUACUGUUGUUUUCAUUGUUUACAGGGAAACCUUGAUAUUGUUAUUCAUCACACCACAACUGAGAGGCGUCAGGGCUCCCCCACAAACAAGCGGCUGCUGGAAGAGAGUAGGUGAGUUGUGUUUAGUCUCUUUGCUAAAGAAAUCAGGCAGAGCUAAAAAGAUGUUUGAUGGGUAGUACAAUGGCUUGGACCCUUUCUGUACUGUUGAUAAGUGCUGUUCUGAGCAUUAUUUGUUGCUAUAGAGUGGCUUUUUGGUUGAGGUUUGUGCGUGGAGACAUAGACCACUGUGUAUUGCUAUUGUGUGGUCAUUGCUUAAGUUGGUAUAACUAGAGAAGCAAGCAGUCGGCAACAUUCAUCUCUUGGGGGGUGUCUAACUCAGUGUUACGGUGAGUUUGACCCUAACUUAAAUUUAUGCCGGAAUAUCCCUUUAACAACCUUGAGACACUGACCUUCAGAGGUUGUCAAGUCUGGAGAAAAUAAGUGCUGACUCUAGCCAGGUCAGAGAUCACAGGUAGUGAAAAAUAAAAGCAUUCAGUGUUACAAAACUGCAUAACCAUUUGAAAGCAGAGAGAUUGAAAGUGAUUAAAUGCACCGCAACGGCAACUUUGUGUUUACUUAUAACAUUUCUGUAAAAGGGAAAAAAAAUAUGUCUUUAUCACUGACUUUACAUCUUUCAGUUAGGGAAAGAUUAAACAAUUUCUUCAAGGUAAAGUCAAAUUAAAGUAUAACUUGUCCCACAAGAAUGAAAAUUUAAGCGAUUGAAAUUGAACCACUUGGGGUCUGAAUGAGAUGCAAAACAGAAAGCAAAUUGUAAAUCUGGGAAAGGUUACAAUUUGUAGACUGUAAAUGGUGAUUAUUUUGCAAGGUAAAUGUGUUGUGAGAGGGGGAUAGUGACACUGACAAGAGCCAAGGUGAACCCCAGUUGAUGUCUGGUGAAGAUGAUGGAUUGAUGAUGGAUUGCUUGUCAUGACAGACAGUUGUACUGAAUAGAUGGGGGCUGCACCAGCUCAGAGCUUAAAGAAAUACCAGUACUGUUAAUGCUAGAAUUAAAACAUUUAUACUUGGUUUUGUUUUUACUGUUGUUCAAUAAAUGUUUUCAUGGAAAAUAUGAGUCAAUACAGUAUAAAGAUAUAGUCUCUGUGAUAAAACUAGUGAUAGUUUUAUUAGAGUUUCCUUUUCUGUAUUGUUCUUUCACUGCCUAUUUAAUACAUCUACGAACAUGACCCAUGUUUGCUGACUAAAGAAGCAGGGUCAGUACACCAUGGAAGAGGAGGGUUGAAGUAAAUGCAGUUCACGGGCUGAUAGUGGACAGAUAUAUGAGCACAGAACUGGACUAUGGGAUGAGAAUGCGGAGGAGUCGAUCCCCUUGCGAAGAAGGGUGUCUAUGAAUGAAAUAAGAAGAUUUAGGAAGGAUAAAACAUACACUAGCUGCAACAUUCAGGAUCAUUUGGAGACAUUUAAACAUUUAAAGAUGCUUGAUCAUCACCACUUGAAGCCAAAACACAAGUACACCUCCUUUUCAUCUGAUCACGAUUACGCUCCGUCUGUGGAUGCCUGUGUUGGUAAUUAAGCUCUUUCAUGUCUGAAUGAGCUUAAACUGUGUUUUCCUCUCUAAUUGCAACACAAAAUUAAAAAGCUCAAUGAAACAAUAUGAGACAUUUGCAUAAAUGAGUUAAUUCAGUCGUAGAAAAGCUUAGACUUUUGAUUAACUUCUCUUUUCUAAUUGAAAGUUUGAAAUUGUCUUUUAAUUUUUAUCACAGACAAAAAUAACAGGUAAAAUGUGGUCUUAUAGGUAAAAGACAAAGCCUAAACUGCAUCAUUAAUUGAGCUACAAGUGACCAACAAGCUUCAGCUCCUCAUAUUUUUAAUGAAGAAUGUAUGUCCUGAGAAAAAUCUUAUACUAAUUUAUCUCUAGCACUUUAAGAUUAGCUUUAAGUUUUCCAAUUGGUGAUCCACUGAUUUUUUUUUUAAUAAAAACCAAAAUUGUCUGAGCGGAUGGUUUAGUAUCUUGGGAUAAAGCCUGUUUUGCAUCCUAGAUAUAAGGAAAUGUUUUCUUAUUAAACAAAUGAAGAUAAAAUGACACACAUUUGGUUCCUAAAUUGUUUUGUUUUAAACCCAGAUGUUCUUUUUAUUGUUAUUUGUAUUAUUUUUUGUUGAGAUGACUGUUUCUGAGGAAGAUACUGAUUUGACAGAUGUUAUGGCAUAUGUGUCCAAGUAAUUGCCAUUUGAAUGUGCUCUAUCAGCAGCAUCAGUGUGUUCAUGUGCAGAACCUCAGUGUGCGAGUAUGUGUGUGUGCGGAAGAGCGUUUUCUGCCUUUUGCAUGUGACCACUACGCCGUACCUCGCUGUUUUAAUGAGAUAGUGUUUAUCUAGACAGACUGUCAUUGACAAUAAGCACUGUUCCAUCAGCUAAAACCAACACAGCUGUCUGAGAUUAUGGACCCAUACACUGAAAUACUUAAUUGGUGGGUAAACUUUGACUGCAUUUCUCAUAGGAAUGUAUUUAAAUGUUGAAGGCUUCAUAUAUGCAGUGCAGGGAUGCCUCAUUUGUAAAAUCAAGCAAAACAGUACAUGUGGGUUAAAGGUAGCACAUCUAUUUUACCAAUGGUUAAUAUUUUUUUUUGUUUUCAUAAAAAAAGCAAACUGUUUUGGAAAAGGCUGUGCUCCAAAAAAUCACUUGCAGUAGAGCCAAAACCACAUGAUGUAAAGCCGGUCUUCAAUCAAAGUAAAAUACGCCAAAAACAUUAUCAUUUGAGAUACUGCAGCAAAACAACAAACCUCUGUCUACACAUGACAGCACACCAUUCUGAUCAGCCGCUAGCAACAACAAGAGGGCCUUGUAAAAAAGAGUGUGUGCCGUGCCAACAAACACCGAAUAAAGCUUUCAACUCAACAGCUCCCUCAACUUCUCAACAGGCUCACGCACUUUCAUGCUUUAUCUGUUCAAACUUGUGCACUUACAGCGCUGUGGCAGCUGCUUGAUCAUUUUGAGCUGUGACAUGUAAUCACAACGUGUCAGUUUAUUAUAGAAACUGCAGUGUGUGAGAUGUAAAGCAAAAACAUUUGACACUCUUGACUAUUAUAAGUUAUUAUCCAUCAGAGAGAAUAAAAACUAUCCAUGAUCAAUUUAGUGCAUGUGUCCCCCUCAUCUUUACUUCUUAUGAGGUACAGGCUCAACACACACUCAUGUAUAAAGAUAUGCCCACAUCCAAAUGUUACAAGAACAAAUGACGGACCAGCCUGUUCAGUUUAAUGUAAAUCUACGGUCCUCUCACUGUUUCUAAUCUGUAGGAAGUUCUGGUGUCAUCCAGAAUCUAUUCUUAAAAUGUCAAUCUCAAUCUAUGACUCCCAGGGAAACAUGCGAGAGCUAGUGAGAUCUCGUGAGAAAUAUUGGUAAUCUCAAGAGCGUUUCUCCGACGACGGCGGGGUCGGAUCGAAUCCGGUGGGCGCUGUUGGCCCGCAGAUCUGAUCUGCCUGCCGGUCCGGAGUGGAGCAGAGCUGUUUCGGAUUCUGUGGGUUUAGCCAGUAACCCUCCUCCAUUCAUUUAAAUGAAGAUCUGCUUUUGCGGUCAACUCUGUGUAGGCUGUGGUCAUCAUUCAAAUCCACUGUGUAAUGAAAUGCAUAUCUUGAUAUAUGUCAUAUCGUGCUGUCCAAUGAAAAACACUUAUCUCCACUUUUUCAAUACAAUGUAUGGUCCAUAAUCCUCCCUUACAACCUGUAGCUUUGGGUAUCCAAAUGACUGAUGGAAAGACAUUUUAUAACAUCAUCUUUUCAACAAGUAACUCCAUUGAGUGUUGGAAGUGUCAACAAAGCAUGUAUCUCCUGCACGUAUCUCCCGCAUUGCCUGGUACGCCAAAUGGCCUGUCCAUGCCUGGCUACACACAUUGGCUUUUGCCGACCUAAACAUUUUUUCUAACCAUGAUAGUGUUGCCCUCCUGUAUGUUACAUUUCUUGAGCCAAAGUUCAUCACCAAGGGCAAAACUGCUGCUGUUUUCUCUCUCACACUUGGUCAUGGACACUAGUUCAUGGGAAAUUGGGAGUCGUGACUCAAAAAGGUUGACAACCAAUGUCAACAUGGUCGACAUAGUGGGACAUAAACAGGAUACUCAAAGCCCGUAAAUAACCAAACGUCAUUUUCCUAAUGUUGCUGAAAAAAUAAAUCUUUUCGGAGAUAUUUGUUUUUUAUUGGACAGCAACAAUAUUGCGGUACACAUGGUGUCGUGAGAUAUACCGUUGUGGUCUCUGUAUCAUGUUUGAUAUUGUAUCGUGAAGCUGUGGAAAAGUCUGGCUGUGGAAGUUUUCUUCUGAAAGGCAGAUGAGUAUUUCUCAGACAAAGCACAUCUCCAGAUAGACGAGAACACGUGGCAUCAAACAAUUCCCUACUCGAUGGAUUUGAUUGGUUGGAGCUUCACGGUAUCUCACUCCAACUGUGUUAUUGUGUUUGCUUUGCCAUCUAAAUGUCCCCGGUGAAAUUUGAAUGAGUCCAAGCUUAUAACACAAAAUAAACAGGUUUAUUUAGUCCCACUGAGAUGCUCUGAAAACCAGCCAAACCAUGAGGUAAACAGCAGGAGAGAGCUUUUCGGCUGAUAAGCCAUAUGUAAGCUGUGAAAGCUGUCUGGGAGGCGACUAAAUUACCUUAUUCUAAUGAGGCAAAAGUGAGUGUAGCAUACCACAUGAACAUGAUGUAAAAAGUGACAGAAAAAUACAGCCAAGCUUUGAUUUUCAUAUCACAAUGACGUAUUUGUAGCUGUUUAUAUUUAGUGUCAAAGAUGUUGUGAACAAGCGCCAAAGAUAGGGUAUAAUAUACUAAAAGCAUCAGUGACCAAGUUCUUGUAAAGUAAAACUUCUUGACCAGGAAUAUUUGUGAAAUCAAUAAUCUAAAGUCUGAGUGGAAAUAAAUAAAUAAAAUCAUGAGUUGCAUCACUUGUACAAGCAAAGCGCUUUUCAACAUGAGUGGAAAGACAAGUGACAUUUACAGACGAGUGAGCUGCUUAAGUGUCAGUCAGCAGGUAACACACAGGGGAGUGUUUUGCGUGAAGUCUUUAUUCCACUUUAAUAUGCACUUAAGUAAAUGAAGUUUUGAAAACACCACACAGAAGGUAACAAUCUAGUGAGCAAUGAACACACUGUCAGAUGAGUCAUCCAUCACUGUCGUCUCAGCACGGUUCUGCUCUGACAAAACAGCUCUCAGUGUUUAAACUAGGCAUCUAACGUGGAGCAGAAACCUUUCAGUCCAAUCACCUUCUUCUUUAGCCAACAUAAAUAAAUAAAUAAAAAAGAAAAGAUAAGACACCAACAUCUGUUUCCUUGCAAGAACCAAAACAACCUCUUUUUUUUUUUUUCACCAAAUUGAUUUCUACACCUCUUGUCAUUGUUUGUCCUCCAGGUUCAGGAUGAUAUAGUACUUGUACGGUCAUUAUCAAUAUGUGACUCAGAUCCCAGAGGAGACAUUUUUCUGAUAAUGAGAAGAACAUUUUACCAUGCUGAGGGCUGAGAAAAAUACUGAACAGCACCUUGCUCCCCCCAAAAAAAUUUAAAUUGAAUCAAACGACCUGUGAUCUUUUGCUCCAUCUCAGUAUAAGCUCUGUCUUGGUUAGUAAGUGGAGACUAUAGCACACAUUGAAACUUAGUUUAUUUGUUCGUUUGUAAAAGUUAGUUUGUGCCUUGACUUGUUCCUUUGGUUGGUUUGCUCAUCUUAACUAGCAGACCAUAACGUCAAAACUAACUGCAACUAACUGCAAGUAGCCAAUCAGAGCCAACCUUAUCUCUUUGUGGAGGGUUUUUAAUCUGCUCCUGACACCUAACCCUCGCGUACCCGUUUCAGGCAUUAAAAUUACAAUAUUCAAUUUGUCAAUUCAUUAGCAUCUGGAUAUCACAAAGGGAAACCAGUACAAAUUUAAGUGUGUAUCAUUAACAUAAAAAAAUUCUCAUAGUAGCUUUAAGAAGAAGGCUAUUGUCAAUAUUGUCAACAUAAGGGUGACCAUAUUCUGAAAAAGAGGACACUUGUACGCGGGGUGGAGUUGUAAAAUUUUUAGGGUUUUUCAGGUCGGGGUGAGUGUUUUUUUUACGCAUUUCUGACUCAGUUAAAUGCAUAUUCUGAAUUCAUCUUUAAAAAAAACAAAAAACAUUUUAUCUCAUCUUUCCUUUUUUUUUUUCUCACUGGCAAAAACGGGCUUCCAUACAAACAUUCUGAAGAAUUUUUUAAACCCCAGACAGGCCGGACAGCCCCCCAAAAAGGACAUGUCCCGGUAAAAGAGGACAUAUCGUCACCCUAGUCAACAUUUUUAAGAUAAUUAUACAAAUAAGUGGCAGAUUGUGCAGAUCUCUAUUCGUGGGAAAAACAUUAGCAGGGGUACAAAUCAAAGUGGAUAUAGUUUUAGUUGUUGAAUUCAUCGCUAAGAGCAUGCUGCCUACACACAUUAGAGAGUAAACCCCUCCGCUCAUCCUCAUCCUCCAAGUAACCCCUUACCUUGAGGCUUCUCUGCUAGUUCAACACCAACAACAGCACAGUGAAAACUUGAUCCUAAAGUAAAAUAUGUAAAACUUUUAAUUAGAGUUAUGAAAAUGGUUACGUUGAGAUCAUGAGUUGGAGACAAAUUUCUUUAUUUUUAUCACUUUCCAGUUAAAUACUUCAAAAGAAAUGAAGAUUCUUCUCCCCAAGUUAAUUAGCGCUCACUAAAACUUACAUGGGAAACCUGCUUAAUUGAAGCAACAAAAGCUUGGAUCUGGAGACACAUGGAAAAAAAAAGUUUUAGUCGAGCCUCAGAUUUCAUUCAAACAUUUUUAAAAGGAAGCUCAUGAAGAUAAACUCCUGAACCUCUUUGUGCUGAGAGCCACUUCUGAACAAUCUUUCCAAGCUCUGAAGAAAUGUAAAGCUACAGUGCGAUAAGCCUGUUUAUCACAAAGGUUUUAAAGCAACACUAGGCCUCUCUCUCCUCAGCAUAGGAUUCUUCUUCAUACUGUAUGUGAUUGAUGAGAGAUGGGCGAUCUCAAGCACAUUUUUCAAACUGCUCUUUUUAUUUUCAGUACAUGUAAAACCAGAAGGGAGAAGACAGAGCAAUCAUGUUGAAAUAUCUUCCCUUUUAUCAGAGCUGUAGGUUUUCUAUGCUGGAAUUAUUGACCAAGGUUGAGCCUUAAUUCAAAACAGCCAGAUUGUGUUUCAUAUGCUGUCACUAAGUCAUGAAAAAACCUCUCUUUUCGAGUGAAAGUAGUAAAUAUCAUGAUAUUGACAAUAAUUUUCCUCUCUACAAAAUCACUAAAACCACACAUGGCACAUCCUCCAAACUCUGAGCAGGGACAUUUUGUCCAGUGUUGGAAGAAAACUGUUAGUUAGUAAAAAUGCAGAAGUAGACAGACUAUCCCGCAGUGUUAUUUGACAUGCAAUAAAGAUUAUACUGAAGAGGCAGGUCACAGUCUUAUUAGAAGACUUAACAAACGUCAAUACUAUAAGGAUGUGUUGACAAGAAACCGAUCUGGGGCGAAUGUUUGUCAUCCACAGAGACCAGCACUCUCUUGCUAGUUUAACCGAAUUAUACGGUGAUUAUUUUGGGCGAUCACCUCUCCUUCACCUUACUGUAACUCUGCAGGGGAAGAGAGGCAGACGAAAAUGACAUAAAAUACCUCGAGGAUAUAUAAAAGCUGACAGGGGACCCUUUAGCUGCUUAGUGUCACCCUAUAAUAGUGAUGAAGAGCACCGAAUGUACCCAGUUAUGCAAAUGGGUAACGAAUUAAUUAAAAGAAACUUCCAUGCCAAGUUGUUCUCACACGGUCUGAAUCUUAAAACAAUUAGCAGCUACAGUAGUUCCAACUAAACGGUUGUAUCCUCAUUAAUAUUUCACGUUUGUAACACAGUCCCCCUGAAUCUAAUCAGGUCACCAGCUGGGGUCCUGCGGUGACAGUAAUUAACCUCUUAUAUUUUUUCUUAAGGUAGGGUGUUGAAUAUUCAACCCAGUUAUAAGUUCACAGACAGUGUAAAGAUCUAUGUAAAAACAUAACUCCAGUUGCCUCACCGACAUACUUUUACUGUAAAUCCAUCCUUGAUGCUGCUGUUUAUAUUAUCCUUGCAGCUUUCCUUCAAGCACCCCCGGCAAGUGGUUUUUGCUGAAAAUAGUCAAACACAAUCCCAGUAAGCAGGUCAGAGUGUGCAAUGUUCACUGAACAAAACCCUCAGUAUCAACCUGUCUCUCUCUGAAAUCUGCUAAAUAAUCCAAUAAUAUUUUGGACUUUCUUAUUUCCGAGAGGCAGUGGAGUCAGCAUUUAGUUCAUUUCUAAAACUUUCCUCUAUUUUCUGUUUUGUCGAGGCAGGGGAUUAUUGGCUCUGCAGGGGGCCCCCCUCACCGAAGUAUUACACUACAAGCUGGCCUGAAAUGAUCUGCUUCUCUCUUACUGCUGCUUUUUCCAAUCCGUGUUUUCCUUUUCCAGUUUGUCACUCUGGCUGUCUGUCUCCACACAUCUGUGAAAUUUAUGCUGCCAUUUCUCUUCAACUACCCAUUACUAUCUUCUACUGUAUACCCUCCCCUCAUCAUAAAUCUCCCUCCCUUCAUCCUCACAUCAUUCGCACCUCCCUCUUUCGCUCCGCUAAUCUCCUCUGAUUUGGUUAUGCGAGUUUCCCGCCAUUUGUCCUCCAUCCAUCCAUCUAACCGAGCAUCCAUCCACCUAUCCGCACAUAUACUCAUCUGUACAUGCCGAGCAAUGAAUGGAUCAGAGGAGGUGGGGUUCAUUUUCUGUCUCCACUCUGUCACUCUUUGAUCAUCCCACUGUGUCUAUUUCAGAAAUAGACUCAUCACAAACUUACAGGGACUUAAUAAGGCAGCAAUUAACCACCAGCCAGAGUGCUGUGUGUGCGCGUGUGUGUGUGCGUGUGUGUGUGUAUGGGUAAGCUGAUUUAGGCUGUGCAUAUUUGUCUCCAUGUGUGCAUCUGCAGCUUCCAAAUAAAGUGCGUCUCUGCAGUUUGUACAGUGUGACAGUUUGCAAGCAUGUGUGAGUGUUUUUUUUUUUUUAGCUAGUUGACAAUCCAAGGGACGGACCUCAUCCAUCAUUUCCACUCUUCAAAUAAUGGAGAUACUUUGAAAGCUUAGUCCAUUACAGACUUCACAUCCUUUUUUCGGUUUUUAAGGUUUGUUAAUUUCAAAACAAGACGGGAUUUCAGACUGUGAUUAAUAUCUUUUUGGUUAGUGCACUUCAGCAAAUUAUAAUUUUUGAGAAACAAACAACAACAUCCGUGGUCAGGGUUCCUGGGCGUACAAUGAUUAUCGUAUUUGUACGAUAAUUUUGCCCUCUGUACGAUGUAUGAUCAAUCAAAAAAAGGCUAAAUGUACGAUAAUUUGACGAUGUAGUGCAAUGAGACUGUCUCAGUUUGCCAGACACUUUAUUUUUCAUUUUUUUACUCACAAACUCUAAAUGCAUCUUUUACCACGUGAUGUUUCUAUCCAAUCGUAGUUUGAGUGACAUUUGUCUCCGAACUAAGGCUGCACCAUAUUGGAAAAAACUAACAUUGCGAUUUUUUUCAACCCUGCGAUAUUAAAAAAUACAGGAAUUUUCACCAGAUGACCUGAAUAGCACUUAAUGUUAUGCUGCACUGUUCAAAUCUUGUAGACAAUUAACCUGCUCUGAUCUUACCUCUUUUUGUGAAUGUUAGUAGAACGGCUUCUGUCUGUCUCAGAGAUAUUUUUAGCUUUUAUUGUGCUGGGACGUUAUUGUGGCAACAGAUGAACACAGAACACGUGUUUUGGUCGACAUCAUCCUCCUUGUAACCAAAAUAAUUCCAUUCCAUUCCGUUGCUUUUCUUUUUGUCAACAAAUCUUCAUUUUCAGUCUUUUCUUUUGUUUUUUGCUCAUUUUGUAAUCGUUGUUGUCACCGGUGUUGUGCCAACACAACACUGUACAUGGUAGAAAUGUGAGAAAACUAAAAUUCAAAGUGUUCAAACUCCUUUUUAGUAAACAGUAAAAUGCUUGUUGAAGGUGCUGCUGAGGAAAAGUCAUAUCCAAGGAUUGAUUUAUUCAGUGGUUGAAUCUGUUUAGGAACUUCCAUGAAGGUCCAUCCAUUGUUUUUCAGACUGUCUCAAGCCUUUUACGUGACAUUGCCUAAGACAGGGCAGAGCAGGGCAGGGCAAGUUUGUUUUUCCUUGCCCCACCUUCGCCCUGCCACAGAGCGACAGAGAAAGUUUACUGAUAGUAGUAAUUAAGCUCCAGUUUCUUUUUAGCAUUAAGUGUAAAAGCAGAUCUGCCAAUCAGUGUCUGUAACAGUAGUCAACGUCAUUGAUUAUCCAAACAUCAGCUGUUAUCCAGCUUCACUCACAUCACUCUGUCGGUCGUGUGAGCACACCUAUUCAGUUUGGAGCCCCACUUCUGUAUGCAUUAGCUCAACAAUAGUCCAACCACUGGUUAUUGCUCAACUGUCUGACUCUUAUAUAUAGGCUGCCCCAUGUCGUACUGUGCACACAUUUUACAGAGCCCAUUAGGAUUUGCACUAUUUCUUCCACUACUGUAAGUUUAUAUGUUUCCUCUGAUUCCUCUCAGUCACACUCCCUCUUCUACUCAUUUGCUUUGAAAGCUUGUUGAUCCGUAACAUAGAAGACAACCCAAGAGAGCUCAGGCAGUCAUGAAAUAAAUUUUGAUAAGCUCCCAGCUCUUUUUCACUCUGAAGAACUGUAUUCUACCCUCACUUCUGAGCCAAAUGAGCCUCGAAGGGGCCUUGAUGUAGCAUCAAGUGGCUCUCAGUUUUCCUAAAUUCACUGGCCUUGGAAAAAGUCCGCCUGUGACAAUUUCUUGUCACUUUCUGCUUCUGGUGCCAAAAUAAAUUUGAAUGAUGUUUUUUAUUAUUUUAUUAUUAUUGAGGUUCAUGUUGUUGUGAGUGCAGAAGAAGAGAUGUGUGUUGAAAUUGCCUCUACAGUCUCUUUUGUGACAGUUGACCCAGAUUGACCUGAAACUUGAUUUACUUUUAACCUAUUCCGACAUGAAUUUAUGUGAUCUACAACUGUCAUUUUAGGCUAAAUGACACAUUAGUUAAAACACAUCUGUUUUAUCAAUAUUGUAAGAAGAUGUAGAUACAAAAGAUCUCAUAGUAACUGAAUUUAUUUCUUUAAAGAACACUUCAAGCUCCCAUGAGGGACUUUUGAUUUGUGUCAACUUUGGCACCUCUUAAGGAAAAAGCAGUUUUGGCUUAUUUUGCCUUCUUCAUGCUUAAGUGGCGCCUUUUUAAGAAAAAAAUAUCUCAUCCUGAUGAAUUUUAACAGUCAAAUGUGUCGUUUUUUUCCGCCUACUCUACAUGAAAAUUGUAAAAAUAGGUCUGUUUUUUUCCCCAGCUACUUAGCCAACACCUGCCCCCUCACACAGACAUUAAAAAGGACUGUAUUUAAAUUGUCAGUCUUGUCGCUCAUGAACUCAAUUGAUAUCACAAUGGUUAAUCAGCACUUUAGCUCAUUAGUUGACUUAUGAAAACCUUUGAGGUAGACUAUUAUUUUUUCUUCCCAGUGUUUUCAGACCAGCAGAUAUGUUUGUCAUAAGCUUAUAUAUCCAUUUUUUUCAAAGAAUGGUAGACCAGAUAUGCCUCUAAUUUAGCAAAUAUGUCACAAAUGAGUCCUAAAAUUUUCGUAAAUUUGGUGCACCGUCAGAAACACGUUUAUCUUGCUCCCUGGCGACCUCUUGUCUAACAGUAUGAGCAUCAGGGAAACUUCAGCUACUUAUUCCAAAACUUAACGUAGCCAUAACACGCAAGUUUAUUCUGACACAAUAGUUGCAAGUCUGGACAAAGAGUACAUUGUGAAAGGACAUAAAUGCGACAGACACGGACAGAAAGACAGAGAAAAAAGACUCUCCUCAGAUGAAGAAAGGGAAGCAGGGUUAUUUGUUUUAUUUUGUUCGACUGUUUCACACACACACAAAGGUAGACAGAGACAGAAGAGGAGGUUUUCAGUUCCCUCAUCUGGAUGUGUGUCCUGCCAGCAGGCCCUGGCAGUGGCCUCUCAUUCAAUGCAAAUGGGGUUUCCAACAUGCUGCCUGUUGCUAUACUGCAACAUUAUAUUUGCUGAGGCUGGGGUGCUGUGAUAACACUCCACUGCUCCCCCAGCUCACUUCUCCUUUAUUCUUUUCUUUCAAUGAUACUUGUGCUGCUCUGUCAGUUCUUGUUGUUCUUCUACUUGUUCAUCAUCUGUCUAGUGUGCAUCUCUGAGUUUCUGUGUCAAACUCCCUUCUUUUUUUCUCCACUCUCUCCAUCACAGGAAUUGAUCCCACUGCUUCUUGAAAAAAAAAAAAAAAAGAAGUUUUUAUGAAGCCUUCUCAAAGACUAUCUCUCAGGUUCAGAUGGGGCCCUUCUCCCCGACUCCCCCUUCAGGAUUGGUCCAGUACCAGUUAAACCCUUAAUAUCAGCAGUUCAGAGGACUGAAUAUGACAGCCAAAGUAGGCAGAGGGGAUACUUUGAGAGGCUUUUUUUGUGUGUGUAUGUGUGUGUUAUUUUUCAUAUGUGAAUUAUAAGCUUUGAAUUCAAAGUUAGAGUUAACAUCUUAACAAACAACCAUUUAACAUUUCUGAUAAAAUGCUGUAAUACAAUGUAGUUUAAUCAUUAAGUUAAGAGAGGUUCAAAGUUGGCAUCCAGGACAACACUCAGGACAGUACCUUAAAGUCUAUGUUUUCUUAUUAACCUAGUAUUUUACAUGAGCAGAUGAGAGCUGAAUGAAUAAACUGAUCAUAAACUGAUUUAUAACUUUAUAGAUUUUACAAGCAUUAUGGUAGGUGUUACAUUCAACAAGCCUUAGAACACCAGCAGUGUGAGAGCUGACACCAGACCACCUCUUGGUAUAGAUGAUAUUGGCAGUAGACUACACAUCCACAUGCUGAAAGGGCGCCUAGUCCCCCUUGAUAAUUUACCAUACGUUUUCAUGAUGAAAAGGCUGUUCAUGCCCUCAGGUGCGUAGUACAAGAUGUGGGGUUAAGAGGGGAAGGUGAAGAAAUCCUAAUAUCAAAGUAUGUCAUCUUUUAUAUAAUGCUGUUUUGUGUAAUGAAUCCUUAUCUAGCCUAGGGCACCAAAAUGACUAGAGCCAACCAUGCCCCAGACCAUGAUAUGGCUUGCAUCUCUUUCUUUUGUAGUUUUAUCAGACGACCAGGAAAAGUGUUGCACCAUAUGAUAGUUCAAUAAUUUAAAUGGGGUUCAAAUAAAGAUCUAUAUAGGCUUUCAUGUUUCCUGAAGUUUAACUGGACUCUUGUAUGACAGAAACAAGUAACGCUUCGUGUAAGAGUGGUUUGUUAGGUCAUUGUCAAGAGAAGUGAACCCUGGAUUGAACCCAAAAUUUAAGAGGUUUACUUGAAGUCUGGUUUCCAUUUACACUUCGAUAUUGUUACCUGCUGUAUAAGUAGCUUCUGAACCAACUUUAAGUGAUGCCUCUUAUGUCAUAAUACUUUUUUUUAAACUACAUAAUCUCAAAAUCAAUAAUUAUCAAUUUAUCAAUAACACAAAUCAAAUUUUAAGUAAAAUACAGGACUGUCAUACAUGUUGUCCUUGUUUUCUAGAAGGCACCCAGUCUUCUAUACACGACUCUUUCUAAAACUUCAUUAGGGGCAGGUUUGGAUAUUGGUCAAAAAUGGAAUCUGUUUUUUUCCUGCUUUACCCUCUAUCUCCUUUCUUGACUGACUCUGGCUUUUCCACCAAAACUUGUGGUUUUUGUCCAAAGUUUUUACUUGUUAAAAUUUAGCUAGCCAAAGUAUCUGAGCGUUUGUUUCUGAGUAAUUUUUAGUUAUUUUUUCUAUUUUUCUAUACAUAAUAUGUGAAGGGUCAUAGGAUGUUUUGCAAAGCUCUUCCGCCCAAUAAAAAAAUAAAAUUGACCGGGAUAAUAGAGAAGUCCUUUUAAACAUUUUCUGAUGGUGAUUCUCUCUGAAUUACGAAGUCUGAAAGCUUAACCUUCUGGAGGGUAAUGACCAGAGCAAAUGUCCCUGUAGUAUUGAUUACACCACACAGCUUUAAAGACACACACACACACACACACACACACACACACACACACACACACACACACACACACACACACACACACACACACACACACACACACACACACACACAUACACACACACACACACCGAUUGCAAUAGCCAUUACUGAUAGCCUAUCUCAGUAUUCCACAUAAGCAAGUAAUCACUAUGGACAAAAGACUAUUAAACAGGCACCACAAGUGGUCCAUGAAAGUGAAGCAUAGAGGUCUAGAGUUCUCCUUCUGGACUGGCUCCAGCACUGAUCCAUCUAUAAAGUUAAUAUAAAUGUCUCUAUAGUUAGUUAUAAUGCUAAUCAUCUUUAAAGAAGUUAAUUUUAAUUGGUUAUUUGAGUAACAAAGUGUGGUUGAUUGACAGCUGUUUAGACAAAUGCACGCUCCUGCAGUUCUCUGGAUUGAAAUUAAAAAAGUAGAGGAGGAGUGGAGGAGGAGCUUCAGUCAAAUGCUUCUGCCCCAUCAACACAACAUGGGUUAGACCAAAUAAGUAUACAUUUAUAUUUAUAUACAUAUUUGUGUCCAUGGGCCAAAAUUGAACAGGAAUGUCAGGGCAAGUAUAUGUUUCAUCCUCUGAAUAAAAGGACACCCGUUUAAUAAUGGUGUGAAUGUGAGAGGAUGUUGAUAUUAUGGUAACCAGCUGCUGAUUGCUUAAUGGGAUGAGUUCGCCGAACCAAUCACGGAGGAGCGACAGAUUCUGUGUUGGCAUUCGUGUGUCGAGGCGAUUUAAUUGUAUAUCUUUUUUGUGGAAUUGUAAAGGAUAGGGAGCUGCUCACCCCUUAGUUUUAACAGCUGUUUUGAGCUAAUUUCAGAUAGUGAUAUUUUUCCACUCUCGUUUAGAGUCGCCUUUUGUUGUGUUUGUUUAUUUCAGCAGCACUCCACAUCUGUUUCUCGCCUCAACUUUAUAUUAACAGCCAUUCAUUUUUUCUUUUCGCAAUUAAUAAUUUUUACACCACAGAGCCGGAGUUUUAUGUUGCGUCCUUUCCCCUCACGAGCUGGGUCUUAAUAUCCAGUUUCAGCAAUGCAAACACAUACACACACACACUGCUAGUUUUAAAUCUGUCCUUCAUUUAUAUUUCAGUGUGUCCUGCUAACAGAAUAAACUGAUGCCAUGCUGGUGAGGGAGUUGUCUAUGCCGUAAGAAGAGGCAGAGACACAGGGACAGAUGGAGGCAUCUUUGUAUUCUGGGCCUAAAAAGUUUCCUCAAACUCCCUGAUAUUUCUCUUAGAGAUUGUUGUGAGGUAAAGGUUGUUUUUGGGUCAGAAUAUCAGGCAAAAGUCUAAAGGUUGGGUUCAGAUCCUUUUAAGACGUGUGUGGGCAUGGUGACACUCAUUUGCUCAUGUUUUUUCAAGGUGUUUGUUAAAUGAUAAGAUGACAACUCUUACCGUUAUUCUCCAUUUUGCAUGUAGUUUUUCCUUUUCACUCUGUCAGAGCUUAAUUCUGGUGGUUACACUCUCUAUAGAAAGGCCAUACAGUGGAUUUCAGGUUGAGUUGACCAAUGUCAGUGUUUGUAGCUAUGAAAAAAUAAGGUGCAUGUUGGAAAAGCAGGUCUGCAAGCAGUGAGUGGAUUUUUUAUUUCCCCCGAUGUUUUAACGACACAUAGGCUCAUAUCUAAAGCAGUUCAGGCUCCUUCACUGCCAUCCUAAUUUAACUUUGAACUGCGCCUAAUUUCAUGCCCAAUUUCACACCUUGACCAUUAGCAGCCAGUCACUGCAUAACAGACCUAAUGAAGCUAGCCCGCUAUCCAUUACCGCUUAAGCUGACGGUCUAUACACCACUAUUAAAGAUCUACCUAAGCUACUUUGGUUGUGUGUUACAGUAACAGAGCUCAAAGUUAGUAGAUAAAUCAACAGCCAGUACAAUAAUACAGUAAUAAAUGAGGUAAAUUGACAGUUUGAUAAUAAAAAAAAUCACAAACAGCAAUGAGAAAGAGUGAUUAAAGAUAUUCUGCAUAACUUAUAUUAGUUUAACAACAUUAUGGAUCACAAAUUACAACAUUUGACAUUAAGAUCCUUUAACAAGCAGAAAUCUUGAGCAGAACCAGUAACUACACAGUCAUCUGCUGCAUUGGGUUUAGAGAGUGAAUAGCAGGAAAUGCAGAAAGAGAGAGAUAGACAGAGGAGAGAUUGAUGAACACAGUUGAAGCAGCAGGAAAGCAGGCAGGUCCACAGCAGCGAAACAUCUGUAGCAGUGAUCCAGAGGAACCUUCAGCAUGAUGGAGCUCCAAAAAAAGACUGUGUAUUAGUGAAUCUAAUGGGACAUGGUGAUUCAAAGUUAAUGACACAGUCAGAAAGAGGGUGGAAAAGGAGGGAAAGGUGUUCAAUGUGCCAGUUACCCUGACAGUCCAAACCUUCAGAAGCAUAACUAAAAGCUAGAUUUGGCCUAAACCAUCUCUCACAAUAGAUUUUACCAAAAAUGAACAUUUUCAGCCCAUCUUAAAGGUCUAGAGUUAGCCUGAAAUUACAAAAAAAAAAAAAGACAAACUUUGUAACGCUGUAAUUCCACGAGAAAAUCCCAGCUUUCUUAGCUGCAUUAAAAAAAAAAUCUACAUCUAUUCCAGUUAUCAGCUUUGAACAGUAUUUAACAAUAUGUGUUCAACAUUUAUUAAACCACAUUCCUAUUCUUGUUAUUCACAGGAGAUCAUGUCAACUUAAGUAUGAGAGUUUCUGAAAGCACAUCAGUAGGGUUUAGAGGCAAUGUGCGAAGAAUUAACCACUGACACUUUACUUAUCAAGUGUUUGCAAAACUUGAUUAUGAUGCAUAGACCUACAUAAACAGCAAUUUCACAGUCUAAAACAGCAACUGUCUUCAGGUUAUUUUUUUAUUUUAUUUGUUUCCAUGAAACUAGAACAAGACGAAUAAUUUAAAUUAUGUAAACAAAAACUAAUUUAGUAUGGACAACAUUUCUUAUUUCACACUUAGGUUGCAGGGAUAUUUCUUUUUUAACCUCUUAUAUGGUUAUUUGGAUUCUUUUAGUUCUGCUCAUAUUGCAUGUUACACAUUAAAAUGUUGUCAGAUUGGUGAUUUUAGGCACCAUUCAGCUAACCUGCCUCCACCCCUAAAAGAACAGAAAAAAAAAAAAAAACAGAAAGCAAGUCAGAUGAGUAUCUGCGACAGAAGUAUGUUCUCAAAUAAGCUGGAAGUGGAGCAAAGAUCCAAACCAGCAGCUCCAAGUAUGAUAAGCAGCUGGUCACAGAUUUUCAUUUUUCAUUAUGGAAAUUGUAACUUAUGGACUUUCUUUUUCUCUUUUUCUUGUUCAGAAAAAAAAAUAUUUUUUGCUUGUUUAUGGGUGCUGUUUUGGUAAUGCAUGCAUUCACCCACUUUUCAUUUAAUAAUUCAUUUUAGUUCACAAGAGUAUUGUUGUAAUAAUCUAAUGCAGAGUUCUCAUUCAGGCUGUUGUUUCUGUUUCUUAAAAAAAACAAUGUACAUGACUCGUCAUGUAAUAUCCUUGGUCAGAUGACAUCUCUAUAUUCAGGCAAAUUUUGAAAAAAGGUUCCUCAUAUUAAGCGCUCUGAGUGUUGAUGUGAGUCCUCUGGAAGAUGUGAGCUAUGGAGCUGGCUGUCUAUUUGGCCUGGAGCAUAUUUUAGACCUGGCAGGACCAGCGACAAGGUCCCUCUCUGUGAUACUGACAGUAAUUGAUAUUCACCCCAUGCCUGUCCAGAUGCCAGGACAGUGUGUUGCUAAAAUGACCUUUGUGAAAUGGUUUUCUUGUAAUAAAGACAUCUUCGUCCCAAUUAUAAGACCAUUUCUUUGCAAUAUGGCAUGAAUGAUGUUGAGAUGAUUCCAAAAUGUUAUGUCAUCAACUCCUCGUUGCCCAACCUCUAAUAUUAGGGCCAUAAAAAGUGGAUCUCAUUGGUGCCAGAAGAGAGUGUCCCUCUUCAAAGAAACAAACCUGAAAGUAAUGUAGAUCUCAGGAGUAAUUGUGACAUAAUGUCGAGGGCCCAAUUUUCAUACCUGUUGUUUACCGCUUCAUAACUAUGGGUCCAUGGCCUAUUUCCUCAGAGCAAAGAGCAACACAACAAAGGACUUUCAAUUAAUCUAGGCAAUCUAAAUGUAGCCUCGACAACUAAAAAUGAAAGUUUUUUAAAAGUCUAAAUUUAGACCAAGUUUAAACCAAGUCUGGGCUAUAUCUAUAAUACACUGUAUAUUGCUCAGUGGCUAUCAUACUUAUGUUGGUUAAGUACUGGGAGAUCAGUUAUGCAACUCACAAUUGCUUUUUAAAACAAAUAGUUAUCGAAUAGGUUAAGGUUAAAGUGCAACAUCUAAAUUCCGUCUAAAAAUAUACAGAAUCUAGUUAUUUUUUAGACCUGAUUUCAACCGUCUAGACGUCUAAUAGCCGUCUAUUGCUCAGUGGGUACCCACCGUCUGGAUUCUGUAUGUCUGUAGACAGAAUUUAGACGUUGCACUGAAAACUAGACGUCUGAAAACUUUCAUUUUUAGACCUGUGGUAGCCUGAUUUUAGACCAGUCAUCUAGACUACAUUUAGACGUCUAUUAGACCUCUCCUUGACCCAAAAAUGCUCAGAGGACAACUACCUUUCAUGAUUUUCAGAUAACAAAGCCUUGGGUUUCCCUCUCUGGUACAUUAAAAUAUCAUUAUGUUAGCCUCCAUCUGAAACACCAUGUUAUAGCUGCUCAAAAAAAGGGGCAUAACUGUGCCGCUGACAGUACGAGUGGUAUGGAGACAAGCUGUGGAGAUGUGAGAACCUUUCUUAGUGCAAAGGAGCAAACACAAGUACUGAAUGGAAAAAAUGGAAAACAUUUAAGGAGAGUAAGUUUAAGACCACUUACUAAAAAACACAGAGGCUUUGGACCUGGUGUGUUCAGACUUUACAUUAUCAUGUAUCUGCAAAUGCAUCUACAAGUUGUGAUGACCACUUAUGACCAGAUCACACCCUCUUGCUGUUUAUGCAAAUAAACACAGAGCCCCAUUUGCCUUCAUUAGCAUGCAAUAAACAUCAAAUGGAAAACAAAACAAACUGGGAUGCAGACUCAUGGCAUGGGCAAGAGAAAAGCAACAAAGACAAAGGAGCGUGUGGUCAUACAAUAACUUGAUGAAGGGAAAAAGUUCAGAUCAUAAUGCUCGAUGGCCCUCGACAGUUCAGUGAAUCAUCAUAGAAGAAUGAAAACACUGCAGAGGAAAUUAUCCGUUAACAGCCAAAACGGGACUUUUUUCCUGUGUGAUCAGCAAAGAUUUAUCUUGAAAUGCCUGAAGUGACCAUGCUGCACUAUCAACUUUAGAUAGUAUAUAUCAAAGCAUCUGCAUCCUAGUUUGGUUUACCCUAAAAAACAACCCAUAUACAAAAUGAGAUGUGAUGGAGGAGAGCAAAAACCAUCAGGGGGGACUUAAUCUGGGCACUCACCAGUACGUGGAUCUGUAAAAAAGAAAAAGGGAAACAAAAUUCACCGAAGAGCAAAAUAGAAAAACAGAAAAGGAGCCAAAAUAAGAUGAAAAUGACUGCCAAUCAAAACACAGUUAAGUACACACACAGUAAAACUGGGUAAGGAGUUUUUUUAAGUAAUCCAAAAGGAUAAUAUUGCAAAGACAUGAGCUAACCUUAAACAACUUUUUUAAUUGUUAUGGUUAUACAUUAGAGAAAUUUGACCAGAACUUUCGCAAAUAUGAUCGACUAUGACUGAGAAACUUGAGAAACACAAAGGAGGCCUGAGUUCAUGAUCAUUUCUGACAGAAUAAUUAUGAAAUUGAGGUCAGUACAAAAACAGUGUCUGAAAGACUGGCGUGAGAUCUUGCUCACAGAGCUGUCAACAAAUAAAGCAAUCUGUAGUUGGCUGACUUAAUUAACAGUGAGGAUGCCUGAUCCUAAAAAUAAAGGUUGAGAUGAGUCAGUUUUAUGUACACAUGGCUGGUCCGUGAUGCACACUUCUGAAAUCUAGUGGGAUGAGUGCUUCCUUAUACAGAAUUACAGCUAAAUAUAGUUUUACAACAGAGUCAUAAAAGCUUGGCUAUGUUUGGGUCGAUCUUUUUCAAGGAUCCCAACCCGUUUUGUGCUAAUUAGCUUUUUCCAAAUUGUUCAAGCUGAUCUUUGCGAAUAGUGGCACCAUUUAUUUAAAUUUAAGGAUGUAUCCUCAUUCCUUGGCUGAGUACCAUGGAAAACACAACAUUGCUGUUUCAACAUUGAGGGACAUCUUGAUCACCCAAUCACUUCUCUUAAUGGGUUACUGAUUCAGUACUUAAGCUAUUUCAUUAUAGUGUAUGUAAAAAAAAAAAGCAAAAAAAAAACAAACAAACAAACAAACAAACAAAAAAAAAAACAAAAACAGUUGUGUCAUCAAAAAUAGUUUUAAAUAUUUCAUAAAUCAUAGUAAGAACCCAAAGAGAUGACAGCCUGAGGACUAACCCUUGAGGUACACCACAAGUGAUACUGUAAAGACACAGACGAUGUCACUGAAACAAACUGUUUUCUUUCUGUAAGCUCUCUCUCGAAAAACCAGAGUGCUGCUGACUUUUUAGCAUAAAGAUGAAAGGGUUAUGGAGAUAGUUUGUCACCUGUUAUGCAUGAAGUUUGGAUUCACAUGCCUUGGAAUGACAUGAGACUUUAUUUUAAAAUUAAGGUAUUCACAGUGUGGAGUGGGAAAUUCAGUCAAGACACAGGUUGUCUGUUUCUCAAAGGAACCAAUUCCAUGGAUAUGGAGAGAGUGGGGAGUGCUUAAUGUGUCCCAGACCAGUGUGAACAGAUGUGAACUAGACCAACUCUACACUCUGCCUGAUCAGAUCUUAAUAUGUCCUCAGGAAACAUCGAGGUGUCUACUUCUGAGCCAGUCACCAAUAAGUGAUGCAAAUACCAUUCAUGUAAACAAUACCUUAGUUAAUACACUGAGAGCUUUUUUAUUUGCAGUGCAUUCUGUAUAAACCUAAUGGUAACUUAUGGCUGAAGAUCUUUAUAACAAGAUGCAGCAGGGAACAUAUCACAGCCAAAUUGGAUUCCCUUGAUGCUUGAAUUCAGGGGUUAUGGAUUCUGAUGUAUGCAUUUAUGAGAUCUCUUCAAGAAAGUCUUCAUUUUAAACAGAGAAAAGUAAUUUCUUUAACAACUCUUUGUGCUCAUUUAUUGUGCUUUGCUAAGACUUGAUUAACUGCAGUCUCUGGGGAUGACUUUGGGUUCAUAUUAGAUGGCUGUAACUCAGUUUCCAUUGAGUGCUGUGCCUUUUGUUAAGUAUAGGUAGUUUGCUAGCUCUUCAAAUUGAUGAUUCAUUUUAUCCGAACAUCCAUCACCUGCAGUAAAACUAGCCAUGAAAAGAGGCCAGAAAAAAAGUCACAGCUCUGCAGCAGGGGAAAAAAAAAAGUGGUGGCAAGAUGCACAGUGAGAAAGCAGAUGAGAAAUGGUUGUUUGGGACUGGCACUUAAGGAAGAUACAGUCUGAUUUCUCUUUUGAUGAGGAGGAGGGCCAGAAAGAUGGAGCGAUAAAACAGGACAGAUGAAAAAUGUUAGGGAUAAAAAGCUGAUAAGCAGACAAAGGAAGAUCAAAGACAGAGGUUGACGAAAAAGGGAAGCAUGACUCAUGUCAUGCUGUCAUGAAUAAUAGGAUGAAGAAAGUCGCCUUGAAUGUUGAAAUCUGAACAAGUAUUUACUUUAUUUUCAAGGUUUUCACAUCAAAUUUAAUGACUUUCAAAGUGCCUGUCUCCUGGCAUGUGCAAAGAAAGGCAUUAUCUACACCCAUUAGGCCGGUCUCUUUUUACUUGAAUGGAGUUAAAAUUUGUCCCUUUUUGAUUUGUGUCUUCAGAUAAACAAGUAAAAAAAAAGUCACUUUAUGUUUUUGAAUACUGGCUUUUUUUCUCCAAACUAACCACUUUGGCUUUUUUAUAGACCAUAAGCAACAGUAGUAAGCCAGAUUAGAGAAGCCAAACAACUGAUUUUCAUCCCAUGCUAUUACUAAGCCAAUUUACCAUCACUGAUCUACCUCUGAAUUGUGUUUCUGAAUGAUUUACUACCACAAUCCACCAAUUGUACAAACCCCAAUUCCAAUGAAGUAAAUGUGACAAGUGAGAGUCAUGAUUGGUAUGAAAGGAGCAUCAAAUACAAACUGAGAGAAUUAAAUGAACAAGAAGAACUUUAUCAAUCCCGAAAGCGAAAUCCAAUAUUAGCAAAAUAAAAAAUACAAAAAUUUUUUUUUUCAUUUUGAACAUUUAAUCUUUUUCUUUUAGUGUGUGUAAUUGAAUAAAAGAUUAGCUAGUCAUUGUAUUCUGUUUUUUUUCCAUGUUUUACACAAUGUGCCAACUUCAUUGGGUUUGUAAACUUUCAUUUGAAUUAGUAGCUUUUUCACUCUAGCAGACAUAAAGAGCUUAUUCUGCACAGGUAUACAACAAGCUCAUCUCGUAACACAGAUAUCUUCCUCCAAAUAUAGAAUCUGUUGGCUAAGGAGUAGGCUUUCUUGGUGUCAGGCACAUUCAGAUUUCCACUUGGAAGAUUUUCAAGUAGAAUAUGAAAAGCUUUUCAAAAAAGUUUCUUCAAAAAAGUUUCUUUCUUCAAAAAUGUUUCUACUGCCUAGAAAGAUAUGAGUAAGAAACAGUUCAAAACUACUUGAGAGUAACCCAUCAACUUUAGUUUUUUUUCUAAAAGAAAAACUUUGCGAUUCGAAAGAAAAUAAAGCUAUUCCAAAUUUGAUCAAUUAUCAUUUGCCUUUGGUUUAUCUCCAGUUAACGCCUGGAAAUACUUUAAUGAUACAUGUAAAGGAUGGGUCUUUUAUUUGUGUUUAUGCCUAAGGUACCAGGACAUAUUAUAGAACAGGCUUCUAUUAAAGACAGACUUUUAUUCCAAAUUCUUUCAAUCCUAAAGAAUUAAAAUUGUUCACCUUUUUGAACAAAGUGGGGCCCUGACUCACUAAGCCUGUGCUGUGACAUGUUUUUCUUUGUUCAGUAAGUUUUGGUUUUAUUUCAACCAAAACUGUAUUGAUAAAGAUUUUUCACCGCAAAACAUUUUGUCUUUUUUGACAUGACAUUUGAACUCAUCAUGAAAACAUUAUUUUGUUAAACUUUUGUUUAAUUCUCAUUUUACCUAACUCGACAUUUGAACACUACACUGUGUUAUCAUAGGUCUUUUGUCCUGCUGAUGUCCACAUUGAUUUCAACACCAAAUUCAACACCGGAUCAUGAUUUUUAACUAAAGGAACCCUCAAGACCUGAUAGCAGACCAGGCUCAAAUGUUAUUGAUUUUUAGGGUUUGGAAAAAAUGCUUUAUCAGGGUAUUUAAUGGAUCCAGUUAUUGAUCCUCAUCCUUGGUCAUAGAUGGACUGUACUUUAAAAUGAUAAAGAGUUUCCCUCUUCACUCAGCUUAUCAUAUACCAUGAAUAGAUUCAAUUUGUUGCCAUUAGGAUGAGAGCUCACAGAGUGCUGCUCUGGGCAGGAGUGCAGAUGCUAACAGUUAGCUAUUAUCUCCGUCACAAGAAAUUGAAAUAAACUGAAGCAAACUGGAGAUGGUGCGUGAUGUAGAUAGCUACCAAACUGAUCUUUUAUUUUACAGAACAUGUGACUGGUGAUGCAUAGUCAUUAUGAACUCUCUGGAAACCUGUUUUCCGUAUUUCCAUAUUAGAAAUAUGACGCUGCCCAUUUAAAGUCUGACUUUAUUUAGUUUUACAGCUUGUGAUCAUGGUUAACAUAAGGAACCUGGUUGCAGACACAUUACUGGUCUUUAUAGUUUGGAUUUUGUUCCUUAUUUAUGAGUUGGACAAUUGAUAUCUGGAUACUUCCUGGCUAAUCUAGACGACUUGAAGGAUCAGUCCUUGCCCGCGGCACAGACUAUGCCUCAUUACUAUCAUUCUAGUAACAAUAACACAGAGGCAGUGAUGGAAUAAGUGAUAUUUAGUGAUAUUGUGUCAUACAAUCACUCCUGCUCCAUUUUUCACAGUCUUUGAUAAAGCAGAAAUGUACUCUAAGUUUCAGUGAGGUACAGUUGCACCUGGUAAAAUCCCUGCUUUGUGGGCUGUUCCUUCACUGUCAAGUGGGUGAAUGAACGUCAGCCGUAUAAAUGAAAUGCAUUGCAUCAGGCUGUUGAGAGGGAAAUGGAAGAAUUGCCACUGUCCCUGCCCACCAAGCCAGCCAUCUGUUCUGAAUGCUUCCUUUUGGCACAGUGUGUCAGCAUAUUAAAUUGGAGGCAACUUUUCCCACCCUGAAGGUGGUAACCUGUUAUGCAGCCAACCAGCUCCUGUACAGCCUCACAUGCCCUACUGCAACUCUCAUAUAAAAAGAGCUGUUUGCAUCCCUACUAUAAUAUACAAUCGAACCAUGUUGUAAAAACACAGUGCACUGUUUUAGAUCUGAGAAAUCCUUUAUUAGCUCAAACCAGUAAUUCAUUUGAAACACCCAAUUCUUUCAAGAAUAUCUCACAGGACCAAUCUCCUGAGACAAUUUGCCCUUUAAGCAUUGAAACUACAGUAUCCCAGCUGCUUGUCUGAACAGUAAAAAGGUGAAUUACUUUUAAUUGACCAUCCCCUUUUUUUUUUACUACAGCUGCUACUGUGCUUGUUUGUUGCACAGUACACAGGGACAAAUGCACAGUAAAAAAGACUAAAAAGCUGUGCAUGGCAGUCAUUCAUGCCUCGUAUGUGGAUUUCCUGUCCUCGUGAUUAAAAUACACUGUCAACAAUCUCUCUUUGGAAAAUAUACAGUCAAAAUGAGAAGCUUACACAUUUGAAGGUGUUUUAAAGCAUGCCUUUUGACCCUUCACAUGUCAAAAGAAGCCAUGAGGUAGUUUGGGCGUUGAAUACGAAUGCCUCCCAGAUACCUCCCUUUGGGACUUUUCUGGGCAUGUACAACUGUGGGGAGACCCCAAGACUGACCCAGAACUCCCUUUAGGGAUUAUAGAGUAGGUAUGAUCCACUGCCUAAGAUUUCAGUGGUGGGCUGGAAAAUUGGGUCAGGAAGAAGAACAUCUUUAAUUUGAAGAUUUGCAAGUGGAAAAUAGCAAACAUAAAUGUGAAAGUCAUUUAUUUUAAAAACAUUGACCUGACUCUCUAACUUACAUUUUGUAAAUACUUCAACAUUUCAAAAGAUUUCCUAUUAUGAUAAAACUGAAAAUUCAUUGGUGGACCAGUGUCCCACCCCUGCACCGGAAUUAUAGGUAGUUACAGAGGCAAUACAAGACAAGAUGGUACUCUUAUAACCUUGAAGAGCUAGUGGGAUGGAAUGGGUUUAUAUAGUAUGCCUCUUGUGCUUCAACAACCCCAUAACCCCAUGUGAAAACCACAUACUGGGACACCAAUAUAAUACCAGUGAGGCAUCAAAAGUACAAGGACAGCAGAGUUUUAUUAUGAGAGCCACUGAAAUAAAGGCCACAUAAGUACAUUUUACUACAGCUUCAGAAACCUUCUUUGUGGGUUUUAAAACUUGGACACUGAACAGGGCAUUUUCAGAGGCAACUUUAUAGAGACAAGACCUGUAGUCCCACUGUAACAACCUUGUUUCUGUCCUCUGCUUCUUCUUUUGUCACUUUUGAAAAUAUUUUUUUUUCCAGAGUGGUUUCUCACAAGGACCACUUCAGAAGUGUCUGGUAGCAGGUGUAUCAAGGAAAUUCUCAAAUGUAUGAUUUCUCAGCUCGAGAGUUAUGCACAUAACCCCAACAUCAGACCUUGGAGACAAACAGUGAUAAUACAAUAAUUCUAUUUUGGGAAUAUUUUUAUUUUUUUCUGCAAUCCUAAAAUCACAGACAUCUUUAACUUAACUGUUAUCUCAAAUGCAUCUUAACUUCAACAGCUUUAGCAAAUGACAAAGACUUAUGACAUAAAAAUCCAAUUGUUGCUCUCCCACUUUAGUCAAAUGAAUAGAAACAUUAGCUUUUGUACAAAUGUUUUCAACGAGACAAUGACCUUUGUAUUGCCACUAACCCUGCCUAAUUACAUGCAUUCACAGGUUGGGUCCAUACUUGAGUUUCUAAUCUUGUGGACAAGCUAUUACCCAAUGUGUCAAAAAAAACCCUUAUCUGCAUAAGUUCCAAGCUGCAGCUUUUAAGCCGACAGGACAAAAUACUUUUCAGAGACAAUGCUGUCAAAAGAGAGAGAAAAAACAAAUGAAAAACCAGAGUCUCCAAAAGAUUUGAUAAUUAUCCUCAAACCAGCGUCAUCAAUGGCAUUUUGUUGUUAUUCAUAUUAUUUUAAUAUUCAGAUUUAUAAUGUGCAAGUGCACACAUGAUGCUCAUCGCUAAUGCUGUCCGUAUUUCGUCAAGUCAGAGCAUAUUCUCGUGUGACACUUGGCUUGUAAAAUAGAGUCUGGGCUGUCUCGAUGCAAAAAGCAAAAAUCACUCAGGUUCAAUAUUGUCUGUCACUCUCUCUGGCUGAAGAUGAAUAGGCGACAUUGCGCUGUUGAUAAUUAGUGGUGCAAGUCUACAUCAAUUUUGUCUGAACUUGCAGCUGCAGACGCAAGAAAUGAAAAGUCAGGAUGCUGUUAUUUCUCAAAUUCUUUUAGCUCAGUCUGCGGUCACAUAAUUUGAUGGUCGUAACUGCCUCUCAGAUAGUUUACUAUUGUUCUGUCUGAACAAUGAUGGGAGCUGGAGAUGACAUCCUACACUUGCAGGUAUGAUAUCUGACAAAUAAAGCUGUGGAUAAGUUUUGAGGAAGAGCUGUUUUCAAAGCAGACAGUUUGUCUUGACAGAGAAGAAAAGAGGUGUAACUUCAAGACUGUAUAAUGAAGAGCUGUGACAGUAUGACAUUGAGCCAGUGCACACACAGACGCAUGACCAUGAAAUGUAAGAAGCUAUAGUAAACAGUAUUCAACAACCAAGAGUUCAUCAUGUAUUUUUUUCUCAACUGUAAGAUGUGAAAAGGAAGUAUUUUAUGGCCCUUUUGUGCCCCUGUCGUAUCAGUCUGUCUGUACGCUGCUGUGUUGUUUUCACCUGCUGUGAUGACGUGUGUUCCUUAGUCAUUCAGUGUUGCUGGUAGGGGUGCCGCAUCGGGGUGUCAAACAAACCAAAUAAAUCCCAAUAUAACGUCAAAGUACCACAGAUACAGAAUAAAAAACCCGGGUCGCAAAAUUAAUGUGUAUUACAUGACUGACAGUAAAAAAAAAAACAGCUUUUUUAUCGUGGUUUUUAGGAUGACAUUGUUCACAAAAUUCACAGUAAUUACAAAAUGAACAUAAAUCUGAUGAAAACAGUGCAAUACUUAAUUUUCUUUGAUUGUUCAGUGGUAACCAUGUUAUAUUUGGGCAUUGUUAUUACCAUUUAUAAGAUUUCUUUUCUUUAUUUGGGAGACAUUUCUGUCACACUCAGUUUCAUCCUGUCAGAUGGGUUGGCCUGUUUUGAAACACAGAUUUAGUAAAAAAAAAAAAAAGUUCAAAGCCAUCACUCCAAACAUCAUGUUAAGUAAAUGACAGGCUGUGGAUGUUGUGUUAACCAUAUGAUUGCCUUCAUUGUGACUGGAAAAAGGGUUCGAUACUGGUGUUGACACAAGAGUUGUUCAUGGUGUCUCAUCACGAAAUUACACAAGCAACAGAUGAACAUGACGACUCUCUACAGUGUGGUUACACUUUCUAUGAAGCUCCUUUACCAAGCAUUAAUUACACUUAAUAAGCCACCUAUGAGACCUGAUAAAGUGUAAAUAUUGCAAGUGUUAAAAAACAACUCAGACAUUUAUUAUUGUGUAUAAGUCACUGAUAGGAUCUUAUUACAAACUUGUUAGCAAUUUAUAUACCUGUCAUUAACAUCAGUAGGAUGUUUAUGAACAUUAAUUGGACUUCAUUAGAAUUUAUAUACGAUUUAUUAAUAUAUUUGUUAUAAGCCUGAAAACAUAGCACUAAUGAUUUAAAUAUAACAUUCUGUUAUUUGUGUUCUGCAAGUUUGUUACAGACUUAAUUAAUAAGUUUUACUAAACAUGGGAAGUUUGGGGCCAAAAAACAGACUUUCAGUAAAGCGUAUUUUUAGGCCUGCUCAGGAUGGGGGUCUGGAUCUUCCAGUAUUCAAGGAUUUUUUUGGGCUGUUAAUGUAAGGGCAAUGGUGCAUUAGCAGUGGGGUUCCCCAAAUCAUGAAUCAUUUAGUUCUUCCCCCUUUAACUUAAACUGGGGCUUUUGUCCUUAAUUUUCAGAGCAGCUUCCCCCUUCACCAGGAGGAACAAAGCUCAUCACCAGAUUUGUAAUUCUUUUCCCCUGGAAAGUCAUCGGUUGGCUGUAUUAAGAAGGUCUGGGAAAGGGAAAGCCACUCUGUUCUGCCUGAUAAAGCAUGGAGAACUGUGUUGUAUUCACAGUUGUUCAAUAAACAGCAGACAUACUAGUUAAGUCAGUUUUACCUCCACUAAUUAAAUUCAGUGGGUUUACAGUUUAUCGUUAUUUCCUCCUGUGUUGUCCAAUAGUCAAUAUCAGUCAAUCAGAUAAUCAAGCGAACAAACGGCCCCAAGCUGUGCAACAGUGUUAGCAUGGUGGCACCAGGAUUCCAGGCUACAUGACAACUGGUUAGACAAACAUUUGUGAAGAUCGCUUAUUGUGAAUUAAACAUGAUUAAUGCUAAGGCUUCAAUUAAAAGAAAUGUUUACCAUUUUAUAUUUACAAUAUAUACCAUUCAUAUUAAGCUGUGUUUGUAAUAAAGUAAAAAAUAUAUAUAUAUAUAGUCUGACUACCUGAGCAAAAUACUGGAUUUAACUGCUGCAGGGAUCAUUUUUGGAAACACAAACGCAAUAAUUUAAGAUAUGUGACACAACUUUCCUACCUCUGCUAUUUACAUUUUGGAUAGAGGAGUAAAGGCACUGGCUUUGACCCCAAGAUGCAAUUUAUCGUUCCAACAAUAAAAACAAAAACUUUUAUUCAUUUGUGAAUAUAUAACCCGCCUGCAUCUAAAAAUUUGAAUCUUUUCGUAUUUGCAUGAAAACUCAACUCUGACCGAUCCUAACUCUGCAAGAUAUGCCACUUUCUAAUUCUUCUCUCUGUCUUUCACCAAUGUGUUGCUGCCACAUCCCUUCUCUUCUCCUCCUCCCCCUCCUAUCAUCUCCCAUCCUGACUGUCCACCAUGAAAAUGCCAACGCGACUCAGUUGACAUGCUGACUGCACAAGGGCGUACGCCUCCUUUUUUUCUGUCCUGCAGCAUCUUUGUCUGUCCUCGUGUGUCUUCAUGGUCCCGCGCUGCUGUAUUUCCAUCUACAUGUCCAUCUUUUUUUUUUUCUCUUGACUCAGCAGUUCGAUCAAUCAAUAAAUCAAUCAAUCUUCAUUUAAAUAGCACCAAUUCGCAACAAACGUGGACACCAGACGUAAAGAUAAAGAUCCCAUCUGUAAGAUCAGGCCCACUCCCAUCCCGUCUUUAUCUACCAUGAGUAUAACACUUAAAAACAUUUAACAAGUUACAGAAGAGAGGAAAAACUUUCUUUAACAGGCAGAAACAGACUCAUGUUAGAAAGUAGGAAUUGCAUGAUAAUGAUAACAGACUGAUCUUGGUUUAAUCUUGGAAUUCAUAAACACUGCACAGGGUGAUGAGCACGAUCUUCUGUUUCAUUUCCUUUUAUUAAAAAAAAACGUCAUCAUAAUGUUUCCUCAUCCUGCAGAUUCCUUUAAAAUCACUGUUUCCAUUAAGUCACUGAAAUAAAUUAUAUGCCCCGGAAGCACAGGGCUGUUACACUGCCGGCUUUAUGAUGUGAAAACAGCUCUAUUCCUGCUCUUAAGCACUAUGAAAGGUUACGCAGGGACAGGCCGUAGAUCUAAGAAUAUGUCAACACUAUUAGUGCAUGAGGUUAAUUGUGUAGGUGUGUGAGUGCGUGUACGUGCCGUGGAGAAGAGCCAAUGUAGUUGGCAAGAUUGUGUUCAGUGUCAGCUUUUAUUGGAAAUCAUGCAGUGUGGAGAAAGCGCUGCCUUUAGUAGCUCUUAUUAAUUGAGGGUGUAAAAUACUAUCUUGAGCGGCUGCUGUGCGUAAGUCUUUUGCACUCCUUUUUAUGGCUGCAUAAAAUGUGGCUUUGCGGUGUGUGCAUAUGCAUGUGUAUUUUAGACAUACAUGAGCGGUUGCCAAAACCUAUUUGAUUAAUCGACCCUUUUUAUUUAAUUCAAAGACAAACUGACAGUUUCAGACAAUUCUACUAAAUGCUGUGUGCACAAGCCAAUGAAUACAGAGUACAAGGUAUGUUUAUGGUGAUCUAUAUAUUAGCAAUGCAGUAACACCCCAAAUGAAAAGUGAGUCCUUAAAGAGGAGCUCUAUUGAUGUAAAAUGCAUGUAAAUUAUGGUUGCUGAAUAAAUUCAGAGAGUAAAUAACAGCAACUUUUAAUCUAUUUACUCACAUACAAUCACGCAGAUUGUUGUGGCACCAUCAGGCCAGUGUGUAAACAGCAAAAUGCCUGAGUUGAUUAAAAUGUACUUUCCUUCCUGGAGCUUUGAAAUGAGAACCAACCUCGGUAAACCUCGACAUGCAACUCAAAAAACCCUGACCAUGUUAUUUAACCUUGAAGGGAGGGAGAGACAGAGCAAAAAUAAAACAUGGCUUCAUUUUUUAUUGUGCUCCACAUUUUUAAAUGGGGGAUUUUACUGUAUUUCAGCCAGCCUUGAGAUAUGAUUGCAGAAUGUCUCUUAAACUUGUUUUAGGAGGGAAUGCAGCUGUCCCCUGCAGGUGCUGAGAUAGACUUCUCAUUAAAAACAUCAUGACAUGCGCCAUUUGUAUCAUAUAUUAAUAAAUUUCUAAGUAGAAAGUAAAACUAUUAACUGUGUAGCCCUUACCGCUGAACUAAGACAGUGAGGUAUUAUUGAUCAUUGUGCGUAUACCAUUAGGCUCUGAGGUUACCAUAAUGCUUCAAAUUUAAGAAAACAUGAAUUAAGAAAUUUUGACACGUCUCCAGGGUGAACAGCAGUACUAAAAUCAAGGUAAAGGGAUCUAUGUAGGGCUGGGCGAUAUGGCCUCAAAUCAAUAUCACGAUAUAUUGAGCAGUUCACCUCAAUAACGAAUAACGUAUGAUAACUACUCCACAAGCUGCUCACCCCCUCCUACAUUAACUAACUUUUAUUUAUCUAUUUUUUGACACCGAAUAUAUUGACAUGGGCAAAAUGACGUCAGAUGUUGUGGUAAAUUUUGGUAUCGGUAAAUUUUUGGUUUAUCGCCCAGCCCUAGCUCAAGGAUAUAAUUAUUAUUGUUCCCGAGGGACAUUUUUUUACAGCCAUACAGCUCUAUUUGAAACCACAUAUUUUGACAUGGGCAAAAUGAUGUCAGAUGUUGUGGUAAAUUUUGGUAUCAGUUAAUUUUGGUAUAUCGCUCAGCCUUAGCUCAAGGACAUAAUUAUUAUUAUUAUAAGGGGCAUUUUUUUUACAGCUAUACAGCUACAUCUAAAAAAAAUAGAAAAGAAUACCAAGAAAAUAAGUCCUGACAUAUCCUCUUAAAGCAUGCAUAUAUAUGUGUGUGUGUGUGUCACACAGGAACAAGAUGAGAUCAAAUGUAACAUGAGAUUACAUCAGUGACAGGCAGCGUGUGAAGAUGAAGGUAAUAAAUCAGUGUGAAGAGCUGGAGUGGGAAACAUUUACUGAGGAAAUACAGAACAUGGAAGUUCAUGUUCAGCAAGUGAUGAUAAGACUGUUGUGUAGCAGCGCAGUGAGUGUUGUCUUUCUACUUACUCUGUGUGUGUGUGUGUGUGUGUGUGUGUGUGUGUGUGUGUGUGUGUGUGUGUGUGUGUGUGUGUGUGUGUGUGUGUGUGUGUGUGUGUGUGUGUGUGUGUGUGUGUGUGUGUGUGUGCGUGUUUGUGUUCAAGGGUGGUAGAGAGUUGGGGACAGGGAGCCAGAGGGACAUAAGAAGGCUGUUUGAUGUCAUCACCAUGUGUCCUCUCUGGUUACCCUUGGCUCUAAUCUAUGGUGAGCUGCUGUCUAAGUCCCUCAUUAGUUACUAGUAACUCUCUUUAGUCUAACAUCAACCUCCAGAGGCAAGGUUGACUCGUGGACUGAAUAUCACUGAGAGCAGACUGGUGCUGAAGAUUAAUUGUCAGAAAUAUCAUCCCCGCAAAGAAAGAUCGUGACGGUGGUUAAUGUGGAUUUCUCUUCAGUGUGUGUUACAUUUCACAUCACAUAUUGAUGUGUGUCACAGUGUACUGGAGGCGUUCUGCUCCUCUUUACAGCGGUAGAAAUGUUAAAAAGGGAUAUUUACCUCACCACAUUAUCCUGCAGUAAAAAGAAAAGAUUGCAUAAACACUAUCAAUGAUUCUCUUUGAAGAAUCGAUAGCUUUAUUUUUUUGCGAGGUUAAAAGGCCUUUUUUUUGGUAAUGUUUUCUAAUAGAAUUGUCGAGGCCCAACAAACUGAGAUUACUGACCUUAAAUCUUGCGAGGUCACAACCUACUCCUGUAAACUGCUGUUUCUGUGUACCAGAGGGCUGUGUAAUCAGGCGCAAGUCAAGUGGGAUUUGACCUGCCAACCUGCCAGAUGAAAGCUGUUCCUUCAACAGAAUAGAGGUGCACAACGAGGUCACCUUUUCCCAAUGUGCACACGCGCCCUUUGUUGUGGAAAGCACAGAAGCUUGCAUGGAUAGGAAUAACAUACUUGCAUGUUUAUGAGCUAUCUUUGUACGCUUUUGCUUUAAGAAACCUGGAAUAGUACAUGGGAAAUCCCCUCUGUCUUUUACAUGCACGGAAAUGCACAUACAUGCCGUAACGGCCUUUUUCAUGGCAGUGGAGAUCAGCUGCAAUGACCUUGUGCCAGCAAAUGGGUAUUUUUGCUGCUAGCAGAUUUCCUUCUGCUCUUGUGGGCUUUAAGUGGUAUUGCCUUUGCCAGAAUUUGUGAGUAGUAUACAAAAAAAAAAGGUCUGUCCAUUAAAAAUACAAUGCUAAGUGAAAGUGUUUUUGGAAUCCAACACUACACAUUAAAAUAGGGCUUAAAAUUCAGACCCACACAAACCGGUUAAAGUUCAAAACGAAGGACAGAUGCAAUCCUCUGAGCAAUAGACGGCUAUUAGAUGUCUGUUUUUUUAGACCUUAUUUCAACCGUCUAGAUUCUGUAUAUUUUUAAAUGGAAUUUAGACGUUGCACUUUAACCCCCUAUUCGAUAACUAUUUAUUUCAAAAAGUAGUUAUGAGUUGUAUAACUGAUCUCCAAGUACUUAACCAAAAUUAUUAUGAUAGCCAUUGAGCAAUAUACAGUGUAGUACAGAUAUAGCCCAGAUUUAGACUUGGUCUAAACUUGGUCUUAAUAUAGACGUCGAAAAAACUUUCAUUUUUAGACCUGUGGUAGCCUGAUCUUUAGACCAUUUGUCUAGGCUACAUUUAGACAUCUAUUAGACCUCUUUUAGACCAAAAAAUGCUCGGUGGCUUCUUAUUUCAAUGCUAGUCCCUCUGAGCAUUUUUUGGUCAACAAGAGGUCUAAUAGAUGUCUAAAUGAAGUCUAGAUGACUGGUCUAAAAUCAGGCUACCACAGGUCUAAAAAUGAAGGUUUUUUAGAUGUCUAAAUUUGGACCAAGUUUAGACUAGCUGGCUGACAGAGGUCUUACUGUAAAUUGCUCAACAGCUAUAAUAAUUAUUUUUAGGUAAGUACUUGGAGAUCAGUUAUGCAACUCACAGUUGCUUUUUGAAAUAAAUAGUUAUCGAAUAAUAGGUUAAAGUGCAACGUCUAAAUUCCGUCUAAAAAUAUACAGAAUCUAGAUGGUGUAAAUUAGAUCUAAAAAACAACUAGACGUCUAAUAGCCGUCUAUUGCUCAGUGGGGUCUUUAUAGCUUUGAAGUAAUUCCCAAACAAAGAAUUAUUCUCCUUAAAAUUUCACAAACUAUCACCAAAGUGUUGAGCAAUGAUCGAUCGUAUUCCGCCGGCAUAUUUACCUUAAAGCACACUAACAGUGUGUUCUGGUGGGGAGCAUUACUUUGUUUGUUUACAUAAUAACUCCACAGGGUACCUUUAAAUUACUGUGUGCUGACUCACUCUAAGGGGAAUCUGUGCUGGCCUCUCCUCUAUAUUACAAAUCUGUUGGUCCAGCAAGGUGUGCACUGCAUUUAAAAAGGGAUGAAAGUGUAGUUGAUCUGAUUGGCCCUGACUGAUGCCAGCUGCUAUCACACGUGCUGAUAAUUUAAUCCUCUUAAUCCAACCACUUCCACAACAGUGCUGCAGGUGCUCCGGUCAUGGAAAUCUGUUGGUCACACACAAGGGAACUGAUGCCACCUCCUGCACUUUGAGUGAUAAAAAACAAGGGCUGAGCUUGUGUGUACUAAAUUUUCAUACAAGAAAAAAAACGAGGGAAACACAGGCGUACCACGAGGGCAUAGAGAAGUGGCAGUAACACAAAGGCAACAUUUUUAGACAUCCAAUCAGGGACAUGUAACACCAGCUCAUGAGCAAAUACGACCAUGAAUGGACCAAAGUCUCCAUUACAAAGCACUCUUAACAGCAUAUCCUUACCAGCACACUGUGUCUUGACAGAAAAUGUAUAUGUGCCGCAGGAAAUAGCGUCCCCUCUAAAGCCUAAUGCAAGGUGAGAUGGAGGGGGGAGUUGAUGCUGUCCAGUGGAAAUGCAGCAGAGGACAAAAGUGCACUAGCCGGGGUCCUGCUGCUAGAAAAUCCCCCGGCUGACACAGUAUAAAGUCCAUGUCAAAGUUGGAUAUGAGCUUCUGAGAUCACGGGGCUGUAUAUAAUUACAAACUGUGGAAAAGUCAAUAAAAAAAUGGCAGGUUUCCUCACUCUCCACUCUAUCUUCGAGACCAAGGGUGAGAGAGUCACUGCGGCAUUCAGGUCAAUUUAAAGCUAGCACCUACGGGUCAGUUUUUGUGUGAAUUGUUGAGGUAGGUUUUGUUUUCAGAUAUCAAGUAAAUCACCGUGCAAAUAAUAGAGUUUACAAUGACGCUAACUUAACCCUUUGUUUCCAAUGAGGAGGUCUAUUACCAUGCAUUUAUAGUAAUUCCAAGAUGCUAAAGAACCCAUAUUUCAAGUAGUAAGAGUCAUAUUUGGAUUCUGCCAUUAUCAUAUGAAAACAAACUUUCCGGUCUUCUUCUAUGCUGCAAAAUUGUAAAUCAGCGUUACUUAGAAUUAUCUCCACCUGCUGUUAAGGAGUGUAGAGGACAUAGAGGACAGUCCGCUGCAUAAAUAGUGCCCUUCAAAAUAAAAGCACAGGCUUUAAUUUCUUUACUCUUGUUUUACUCUAAAAACAGACCACUGUCCUAAAGGUUAUCAGUGGUAACGCACAGGAACGUAAGGGCUCAAUCCCAAACCGCCCCCUAAACAAUCAAUCAAUCAAUCUUUAUUUCUAUAGCACAUUUAAAAGAACCACAAGGGUAGCCAAAGUGCUGUACAGUGACACAUAAAAACAAAUAAAACAAUCAAAGAACAAGAUAAAGCAAGCAGAAAUACAGUAAUGCAAAAGAAUAAAUAAGUGUAUAAAUAAGGAGGCUCACGGCAAGUGCUAAGAUGAUAAAAAACAAAUUAACACUACAAUGUACUAAAAGCCAAUGAGUAAAAGUGCGUUUUUUAAACACUCGCCCUAUACACUCUCCCUCCGUUUGGGCAUCCCCGUGGAGGCUCCGCCAUAUUGAAGGCCGUCCCAAACCACAGAGUGAGGAGGGCAAGUGGACUGUUCAGCCCUCAAAUAGCGAGUCUGCACCGAUGCUCACUCACGGCAGGAUUUGCAGGUAGUGCGCUGGCAAAAAUGGAAGAGGAGGAAACAACAUACAAAUAUAACAAAUUAAGAUCCCUGCCACCAAACCCCGCCUCUCACUGGAAAAAAGCCUCAGCAUCAGACUUUUAAUGUGCAGUCGUAGAGAGUCACUACAACAAAACAACCUUCUACCCAACAAUGCGCCUACUAGUACAGACACAGCCCAUGAUGACUGUUUCCAGACUGUGAGGAUGCACACGGCCUUGAGAGACCCAUUUCCAGACCUGCAACAGCUAAUUAAGCAUGAAAAGAUAAAACCACAUUAUUUGUCAAACAAGCAUGCCUGCAGAGAUGCAUGCUGAUUUCAGCGCUGUUGUCUUUCAGCUCAGGCCAACAGAUGGAGUUUGAAAUAUGCAAGAAGUCACUGAAGACACCUCCCCUCGUAAAUUAUGUAAAGUCUUUAUUUGUCAGCAGCACUAAGGUCACUAUAUUGUAAUAUUGCAAGACUGAGUACAACCAAAGGGCUUCUUUGCAAGAGUGAUGUGUGAGUUAGCUGAACAAGGAUGAUCACUAAACACGAUCAUUAUUUUCUAUUAAACAAAAUGAAACUUUCGUUACAAUUAUUGGUACAAUGUCAAAAAUUGUAAUAAUAUUGUAAUAAAGCAGGAAAGAUACCGUGUAUGCAAAGGUGGAAUGAUGAUUUGAUAGUAUGCUAAAGUGAUGGAGUAAACUGUUGUUCUGGAAAACCUGGAUGCAGCCAAAGCCUAUGCAUUUCAAGUGCCAGUCCUGGAGCUAGAUGGCCUGAUAGAUCGUAAUUCCCAGUUUGGUCCUGUUUGCGCUUUAGCAGUGUCAUGUUUUGUUUUGUUUUUCACUGGUGUCUGUCCUGCUGAACCUGCUGAUCUUUUCUGCUGCUUGUCGUACCUUGGCCUGUCAUGUAUGCACAUAAAUUACUUGUGAGAGAUGGAUUGCUUAGCUUUUUUGACCCCAGUAACUAUAGAAAUACUUGUAAAGUGAUCUUAAUGACAUAAUGUAAUGUCAUAAUGAUAAUAAUAAAAAGUUAACAGUAAUAAUAUAAAAAGUUAUAAUCAAAACAUUCUUACAAAUUUUCAGUGUAGCCCUGCUCUAAGCCUUUCACUCUCCUGUUCUCCAUUUCUUCCUAAUGAAUAUGCAAAGUCCUCAAACCAGGGAUCUGCAAUAUUUCAACAACAUGUACACCCACUCUCUUUACUUGUCUCCCUCACCCCCCUACCCCCCAACACACACACACACACACACACACACACACACACACACACACACACACACACACACACACACACACACACACACACACACACACGGAGUCAGUAAAGCAUGGAGACAAGGUCUAUUCUGACUGUGGUCAAAUGAGUCACCUGGGAAUCAGAUGGCAUUAAUCCUGCUGUCAAUACAGGACAGCUGAGCAAUUCAUCCUGCCCACCCGCGAGGGGAGGGUGUCACUGUGCCUGUUUGCACGUGCAGCUUGUGUGUAAAAUAGAGAUUGCAUUUAUUUGUGCACAGGCAGCGGCUGGUUAGUAAGAUGGAAAUACGGGUGCCUGUUUCUGGCAGUAAUAAAAUCUGAUGAAUUUCACCCACCAAACAACUUCAUGUGCAUAAAUACAUUUUGUUUAGAAAAUCCUGUACAUGAUUGGUGUUUCAUUAAAUUAUUUAAAUCUUUUGUCACUUCCAUGGUUUCUUCGACUUACAAGUUUGUACAGUAAGGUGACAAUACAUUAAUUUCCCGUUGCUUUUGACAUACUGUAUUUGCUUCCUCUGGCUUUUUUACCAUUUAGAAUAUUCUACAUUACAUGCUGUAGUCGUACUACAUUCAUGCAACAAUGACAGAGGCUGCUGUUAGGCACCCGUCUGUACUAACCGCCACUGUGGGCGUCGUCACCAGGGGCAGUUUUAGGGUUACGUUUUUUUUUCACCAGGACACUUUGGCAUAUCAGACAGCAGGACCUGGGAUCAAACCCCAGACCUUACAGAGAAAAUUCUUCUUGCCGCCUGUUGAUUUUGACAGAUACAUCUUUCACAACUCCAGCACUUUCCAGAAACAGAACCCCCCUGGACGUAUUUCUGCAUGUAUGUUUUUAUCUUUAACAAAUGCUAAGAUCCCACGCAAACAAAGAGUCUUCUCUGUAUUGCAGAUUUUAUUGACACACCAAAACAAGGAUAGGAGGUGGAGAGGAUGCUACUGCUUCACAGAUCUUAUUCCUUCCUAUCCUCACAGUCUCUCAGAGGCAAGUCUGAGCUAUAGGUGAUGCCCCUGGUCAUGUUCUCCUAUGCCUGGUUUUCUCAGGUUUUCUUAUUUUUCAAACAAAGACGGGCCAUCCUGCUGGGCAUUCUCCUGUUUGCCCAUGUGUCUCUGCGUCUGUUCUCUCUGCCAACUUCAUCUCGAUUUCAUGCUCCUCUACAAUCUCCCAUGUGCUUCAUUCCCAUUACAGGAGUCUCUCUGCCAUGUGUGACUAAUGACAUUGGUUCACUGAGCAUAUGUGUGGGUUUGUUUUGCUUUCUUUAAUGCCUUCGCUGGCAUGUUCAGGUUACCAAACCAUUUGUUUUGGAGCAUGAUAUGAGGUGAGUCAAUCCUUGCUUUAUGCAAUAGCUAUAGACUGUAUAAAACAUCAAAGUGGUCUCAGUGAUAUCAUCCACUGGUUGUCAAGAUUUCUAAUAGAAGUCCUCAUAUUGGGAAAGCUGAUUCAACCUGACUUCUGCUUGAGGCAAUGGGAUGGAGUUGACAUGAGACUUUGGCAUUAUUGCUCACAGUAAUACUCUGUUUGUUUACAUUAACAGUCAAAUUGAGCUGCAGUUAUAGCUUGAUUAGGCAAUUUGGCUGAACAACUGUUCUUUUCCCAGCUUACAAGCACUGUGCAAGACUUAAAAAAGCAUGUCUGCCUCUGCUACGAUAGGUGGCAACAUGCCUCCUUUCAGCUUGUUGGUGUAUUACUCACCAAAACACGCUAGCAAGAGGCUAGCAAGAUGUGCAUGAAAUGAUGACCACACUUGUCUAACUUUGAAAAGUUUAAACUUUUUAUAUCUUUUCUUCAUCUGUCAGUGUUUUAUUUCUGACCAGACAUCCUUGUAUUGCAUCUAUGCAUUUAACUUCGGUGUACGAACACGGGGUAUGUGCAGAAUGCUAAGGCCAGUUUCAGUUUGAUAAAGCUAAAUACAUGACAGACAAAAUCAAUCCCAAGCGGUAGUGUCCAUCGAUUUUGGUGCGACUGUGAGAAGUUUCAGUCAGACUAAUUGGUUUACACGAUAUUUAAAAGUCCAGUUUCAGUCUGAGUAUUGCAAUAAAUCAAUUUUCUUGAACUGCAUGUGAACGUACUCUGUCCUCUCUUGUCAAGUAGGUCAGCCAAGCCCCUAACUGUGCGAAUCUUAUAACCAUGUUAUUUUCAGAAUUAACAAGUUGUAAAGAAUAAUUUAAAAAUAAAUAAAUAAAAAUCUUAUGUUAGUAUAUUUGAACCCCAGCUGUUUUUUUUAAAUGGUAAUUUUUGCUGUAAAAACCCCUAGUGGAAACUUUAAGAACUGCAGUUUUCAGCAACUCCACAUUCGCCUCAUGUCUCAUUGCUGUGCUGUGACCUGUAUUGUGUCCACUGAAUAUUUUAGACACGUAUUAUGACAUUUUAAACAGCAGUGUGUUUAAGCACGCUUGGUCAAGAGUUUCAUAGCCCACUAACUCUUGGCUCAACUCUCAUCACUGGCAGCACAUAACAACUCUGUGCUUUGUCAUAAUCCCUGCACUGGAUCAUGAGACAAUGUUUUAGAAAGGCUGCUAAAUAAUAACAAAAAAGGGAAAUCAUCAUCUGAAAUUAAAAUUGUGAGGGAAAGACGAUUUAUCCAAUGCCUCAGUCAAAUUAGGAUGGCACAUUAUUUGACAUUUGGGUGGUUGAAAGUAUUUUAAAUCACUGCUGUUUCUGACUGAUGGAUCAAAUGUAUGUAUGCAUUAGAUUCAAGGUUGUUUUGAAAUCUUUGAGAACUGAGUGGCAUUAAAGAGCCUAAGAGCUUUUUCAUCGAUGUUUACACGUCACACUACCACAAAAACAAAGAUCUGAGUAUACACUCAAUAGCUGAUAAUUACAGUGUAAUCACAGCGCUGUGUCACAAACCAAAGUGAUCUGAUACCCUCUUAGCUGUCUUAGUCAUGGCUUUAAUGCUGCUGUGCCAUGCGCCUUUAGAGUUAUGUAUUUAGUGUAAGUAAUGUGCUGCUUGACACAAGAAUGGAUAGCAAAAGAACUCAAUGUCAAUGGUGGGUGCUGGCCGGGAAGUGUUUUUUCAUCGCUCGCUGUCAAAACAGAAGUGUUUGGCCAUGCAUCUCUCUGUGACUCAAUGCAGCAUAUCACUCAGCACUGUAAACACAUACACCAGCAGACCUACACACACACAAACACACACUUCAGAAUGCAAGCAAACCCAUGCAGCCUCCUUCAGGUGAAAGCAUUAUAUUCAGUGCCACUCAUCGCGUCAAUAAGUGUUGCAGUGAAUACCGAGCAGACAGAGAGGAUCUUAUGUCAGCAGACGAAAACACAGAGGGAGAGAGGACAACAAAGCUAUAAUUAGAGAAAUAGGAAAGGCACACAGAGAUGUGUGGACAAGAAUUAAAUAGAUUCAAGUAGAAUGACCUGGCAAGGUGUCAUUGUAACAAGGCUAGAAUUAAACGACUGCUGCAAUUAAGCUACCCAUGUGUUUAAGAGAAACUUCAAUCCACUUUAAGGCAUUUCUACCACAUGAUGUCUCCUCUGCUCUCCUUUCACUCAGCCCCAAAUGGUCUUUUCCAGCUGUACCCCCACUGCUGAAUCUUCUAACAUCCUUCAGCAUGCAAAGAAAAAACACACAUACACUCUAUCUCCACUGAGAUAUAGAGAGAACAGAGAUAUAGUCGUCUCACAGAUGUCUGUGUGACACACAGAUGGUUACGCAAAUUUACCAAUAAUUGUAAGUGUGUAUAAGUGUGUGUGUUAAUGUGUAGAUAUACAUUUGUUUAUGUGCUGACAUACCUCACCUUUAGGGUGACCAUAUUCUGAAUCCCCAAAAAGAGAACACGACCAGAGUGGUCGAUUAAACAGAGUGGCGACAACUUCAGAUCUCGCCGCCGGAGCGGUCACGUGGUUCAUGUACCCCUCCAUAGUUCCAAACGCAGCCUGCACUGUCCAUGCUCUGCAACGGGGCAGACUGCAGUGAGCGCGCAUUUAAGAGGUAAAUAUUAAAAUUAACCGUAAAAAGUCAACAUUUGCAACUCUUAUUGGAUUACUGUGUACACGUCAAAGUCACGUACGUAUAUUUAGCGGCUGGAUGACAAAUAAAAGUGAAAUAAGACAAGUUUGGUAACACGUGUUACUUUUUAAUAAGAGAAAAUAAUACAAUAAAGUGGUAAGUAACAGGUGUUACAAGCUGUUUAAACAAUUGUGCAAUGUUUUGGUCUUGCAGCAUGGCCUGCAUAACAUUUUUCCAUGUUAAACAUAUGCCUUAAGUGCUGACAGGAUUUAAAAAGUAGCGGCCCCUUUACUCUAUCAUCCCAUAAGCAGAAAUCAAAUUACAUAGCACUUAUGUUAGUCUAAAAAUAAUAAAUUGCAUAUAAUAUCGGGAACUGAUAAAGGCUGAAAUCUAAAAUAAAGCCCAUAAGUAACCAUCUCAACAUAUGAUUGAUGAUGAUGAUUCAUCUGUGAUUCAUAACUCAGUCACACAAUACAUUUUGGCAGGCCUCUACAGCUGACGACGUCCAGCUAGCAGGCCGUGGCUAAAAAAUCGAUCCCAAUUCCUUACUAAAAAAACGUAAUUACAUCUGUAAUUACAAUUUGAGCAUACGAAAAUUAAAAUCAUUUUACAUAUAAAGGGGUCCCUCAAUACCAUUUACACACGUAUUGGCAUUACAUUCGUUGAUACAAUAUUUUACCUCGGGGAGUGUGGGAGCAAACCGUGGCUAAAAAUCGAUCCCAAUUCCUGACUAUAAAAACGUAAUUACAUUUGGGAUAUACAUUUUUACAUAUAAAGGGGUCCCCUCGAUAUCAAUAACACAUGUAUUGGCAUUAAACUUGUUGAUAUUUUAUCAUUUAAUCCGGUGAGUGCUUGCCUUGUGGCCAUAGAAGUGAACGGCGUCCGACGUGACAGGCGGUCAGGUUGGAACUAUAAAGAGUUCUAUAACCCGGAAGUGGGGUCCGCCGGGCUGUUCAGCGUCUGUCUAUGGGAGUGUCGCCACUCUGUUUAAUCGACCACUCUGAACACGACUACGCGUGACUCCGCCCCCACGUAGUUAAUUUUGAGAGUUUUUCGGGUCAAGUCACGCGACACAAACUCAAAACUUCCGUACAGAACCCUGGACAUUUGGAAGAUUUUAUAAACUCCACCCGACAAGGCCAGACAGCCCCCCCAAAAGAGGACAUGUCCGGGUAAAAGAGGACAUAUGGUCACCCUACUCACCUUGCCAACAGUGAACUAUGUGUGUACACUGGCCAAGAGAGGAAAAUAAACAAAGAUAAUACGACUCUUUCUUGUGGGGUUUUUAACAGUGAUAUAACUUUAAAAGUGGUUUUUAAGUUUUUUAAAGAAGUUAAGAACAAGAGAAGAAGAGCAGACUUGGAGGCUUGAGCAAUGUCAACCUGUCAAUGACUGCAGUGAAACUCCUUACCCGCCCUAAUACCAUAUAAAUGUUUACUGCAAAGAUUUUCACACACACACAAACACAUGUACACACUAUCCAAGAUUCAAUGGACCGUUUUUCUCUCUCCAUUUUAAAGUGUAUAUAUGUAUGUAUAUGUAAAACCAAAGGUGGGUGUGAAUCUGGUUCCCAUGCGUUUUAUAGCUGUAAUAAAGUUAAGAGUUUCAUUGAUUUGGACUCAGUCCUGACUCAUAGCUAUCAGCUUCAUCUCCAUGCUGACCUGUAUCGACUGCAUUAAUUCCAGUGGACAAUAAAACUUGAGCUGUUCCACUGAUCACCUCUCCAAGACUCUAAACUGAUUGUUCGGCACUAUUAGUAUGUCAAGAGGAGGAGGGAGAGGAGGAUUAGAGGGAUGUAAGGGCAGAAGAGAGGGGAGGGGACGCUUUUGAAUGAAAUUUAUGACAUAAUUGUGAAUAAAUAAGAGACACAGAGAAUGGAGAGCAGAGUGGAAAAUGUUUGGAUAACUGUCACCAAAGUGGGGAUGGAGUAAAGAAAAACUGAGCUGAUUGUUUUCAAUGAUUACAACUCCCAGUAGUUUGGGGUAUUUAUGUCUUUUUUUACAAUGCAAACUGCUCAUGUAAGUUACAAAAGAGGAAGGGUGAUGAGGUCAAUAAAAGGGAGAUGAAAGUCAGGAAGCAGGGGUGCCGUGAUAAAAAAUGUAACAGCCUUUUCCAAGCUCCAUGACAGUUUAAACCAAAGGCCUCUUGUGAAAACUGGAAGAUGAAUAUUAAAUGGUCAGAGAAUGAGAAGCAGGUAUAGAAAAAAAAAAAAAGGAUUCCAAUAAGUAAAGUAGAAGAUCUCACAAGAGAUUCAAAUGGAGGGAGGAUGGGAUGUUAAAGACACUGAAAUGAGCAGCGAUGAAACAUUAAACAUCCUUGCACCAUCAGCUGACACCGAGAACUGGCUAUCAGAGGGAGGCGGUGAAGUAGGUGAAAGGGGAUGAAGAAGAGCGAGGAAGAAGAUUUACAAGGUUGAAACAAGGUUAUGAAUGCUGAUAAAUCUUUAAAUGGAGGUACUCUUGAAUGAAGAAGCAGAGUAGAGGAUAGUACCUGCGUCCAAAUGGACUUGAAGCACUUUGGGGAUCUGACUGAUCUUUUUUCCUCUUGUCUAGAUCUUUGCUUGUGCAUCACUUUGGAUCAAAGCGUCUGCUAAAUGACAUUAAAAUAUCAUAACAGGGUUAGUGUAUAAUUGGGACAACAUCUACGAAAUGAUGCAAAGCCAAUUUUAUUUAGUCCAAUCUACGUUUAUUAAACAAUUCAGAUAUUUCUCUGAGUUUUUCAGCUCCGGGAUCAACAGGAUUGAUGCUCACAGUUUUUGUGAGGCGACUGCAACAAGGUUUCUAAAAUGUCUUUCUCACCUGCUAUCACUUUUUUGAUCGGAUCUGUGGCCUUCAGGUGCUUGUUUUUAUAUUGUCAAUUUUGUGUAAACCACUUACACACUCGCCACCUGUGAUAUAUCGAUCAAUGGAGUUAUUUUUGUGUCUUAUUUCCCGCUUGCUCAGGGACAUAUUCUUGUUUUUGUUUUUUGUUUUUAAACGAUGGGCUUUAUGUGCCACACAGACUGCAUGGCAGAAAACAACAUCAAUUUUUCUACAAUGAUUUUUUCCUUCAUUCACCUCCUCCAGACAGGGCUGAAAGUCUAAUGUUGAUUCAGUUCCCACAGAGUUAAUUUAAACACCAUUUCAGAGUUUAUGAAGCUCCACUCCACUCCAGCACUUUCAAAAGAGUUCAAAUUUAACACAGUGAUAGAGUAUUCAACUGAAGGAGUCGCUGCCAUGAUGUUUUUUUUUGUUCGUUUGUAUUUUGGGACAAACUUAAGUUUAACUACCAAAUUUAAAAGCACAAGAAUAUUCAUACAAUUGGAAGAAGAAAUUUUAUCAAUAAUAACAUUUAUUCUUUUACAUUUACCCAUAAAGAUCAAAACAUAAAAUGAAUUCAACACUAAAAUGUUCUUUGAAAAGUUCAUCAGAUGCCCUAAGGAAGUAAUCUGUCUGGAUGGGAUGAGCGGCUUAUCUACGGCGAUACAGAAACUGUCAGUCUUUGCUUGUCUGAAGUUUAUCAGUGUGGAGGUAUGGAUGGCACCUUUUGCUGGUUGCAGCCUCUUUAACUCCAGCAUGAAUAGAAUCGGGAUAUGAAAACUGAAAUUUAUUUAGGAGAACGACAUGCAAUCACAGAGUUUUGCUAGUUUUUCCUGAUUCAGUUUUUUGAUUGAUACAUGUGACAAAAAAGGCUAUGUAAAAGAUGAUCAAAAUGAUAACCUUUGUGCAUUAGCUAGAGUGACCAUAUGUCCUCUUUAACCCGAACAUGUCCUCUUUUUGGGGGGCUGUCCGGCCUUUGUCUGGGGCAGUUUAUAAAAUCCCUCAAAUGUCCGCGGUUUUGUACAAAAGUUUUGAGUUGAUGUCACGUGGACUUACUGAGUUGGAAGCAUGUAAAAGACACUUGAUCCGACUCGAAAAACUCUUUGUGUGACUCCAUGACUCUGUUUCGCGUAGUCGUGUCCUCUUUUUGGGAAGUCAGAAUGUGGUCACCCUACAUUAGCAGCAAGUGAGGUGACACGUCUUGGUUGUAGGCUGAAGACAAAAGAAUGAACUCCUAACUCUUUCAACUAAACACUCAGAAAAUGAAUGAAAGCUGAUACAAUAAGAUGACUCAAUGACUCAAAACAAGUCUAAAAUAAUUUUGUGUGCUGUUCAUUCGUGGUGCACUGAUAUCAAUGAUCAUGUGAAAUUUCAGUUGCGGCACUUGAAAAUUCAACGAAUGCAAGGGAGACACUGACCCUACCCAAAGAAACCUCUGGCAGAACUUAGAUGAACUCUUCGCAGAGUUGGAGUAGCACUGAUGGAUCAACAUUGUCGCAUAACGCCAACACUGAAGGUCAUUUAUACAAGAAAGAGUUAAACCUAGACUUUGGGAGUUAAUUAACUGUGACAUACUUGAACACUCCAGUUUUUGCUGUGUACUCGAGAACGAAAUUAGUCAAUCAAAACGCCUCAUCAUCUUUGAAAAACUCUAACAGGAGUCAAGGGAAAUGGACAAGUGGAUGAUAAAUCUUUACAAAUCCGUUAAAAUAGACCCUCGAGCCAAGGUAGAAAGAGUUUCUAACUGCGCCUGAAGCCACAGUUAGCUUAAGGAUUGCUAGCUCCACUUUUAUAUCUCCUCUUUGUGCGUUUAAAAUGCUUCUUGGUAUUUGUAGAUACUGGUGGGGUCUUAAAUAAUUUCAACCCAAGAGAUGUCAAAGGGUUCAUUAAAGGUCUGGGAGGGGAUAAUAUAUGAAAUUCUGUCUGAAAGCUGAUGACAAAGAGAGGCACGUUUUAAUACGGGAUAAAAUAAUAUAAAUAGAGGAAAUGGGAACACAUAUUCUGUUAAAGAGAAGAAGAAAACCAAAGAAUUAACAGGGGAAAAGAGUCAACAUGACAAACUGAGACACUUUUCCCUUCCCUCCUCCUACAAUAAAAAGGCUUCACUCAUCUUCUCAUGAGUUUGAGCUGAAUGUCCCUGGCAGAGAAAGAUAUUAGAACUGAGAAACAGGGGAUACAGUGGACAAGGAGAAUGAAAAGAUAAUAGAAAGAGAUAGACCGGAGGACACAAAAGAUGUUAUACAAAAAAAUGAAGGCGCUUUGUAAGAGAGGAGGAAUAAAAAGGGGGUAGGAACGGAGUGAGCAGAAGUGAUUCGAUUGAAAAACUAGGAAGGGUCGAACCAUGAAAGGCAAAUAAUACCUGUAAAACGCUUUCACUUGCCGGGUCAGGAGGCAGAAUCAUCGCCUGCUGUAGUGUAUGGCAACAAACAGGAAAGUAAAGGGGGUGGGAUGAAAAAUAUACAAGUGGGUCAAAUUAGAGGGAUAAUACAUUCAGGUACAGCUUCUUGAAAGGAACAUUUUGCGUGUUUUUAUUCUUUUGAUAGCUUGAUUCUUGUCAAGAUGGCACAGAAAACUCGGAGAAACGAAACUGCAAUGGUCAACUGAAGUCGGUUUGAGCCCCUCAGACGGUGGCCAAUGCGUGAUCUGAAUCUACAGAAACAGGUUAACGCUGGGAAGAAGGAUUAACCACCAUUACUCUGACAUUAAAGUCAGAACUUUUACAUCCCAUCAUUUGGUCAGUCUCUUUACCAGAGUUGUUACACCCCUGACCUCAAGUGUGUGCUUGAUGGUUCUCCCAGCAAAGCUUCAGCAUCCGUUCUCGACUGGCUCACAGUGGCGAUGAACUCUGCGAAUUUGGCCGUCUUUCACUUGUUGGCUUCAUCAGUUAUGUCCUCCCAUGGGACAGUCAGUUCCAGAAGAACCGUUUGCUCGGUGGACUCGAUGUAAGUACCAAAACUAGGCAGAGAGAAGUGUUUGUGAAGUUGACUGGGAACUUGUUUUUCAAGGUCAGCUUGAAGCUGCCAGUCAUGAGCGGUGGUGAGAAGACCCCCUGUAGAACUGGGCUGCUGGUGAUGUCCCUUCUGUCCUGAUCUAAUGAAGGAGAUUGCCUGUUUGGGGGAAGCCUGGGUCUUGCUGUGCUGGAUCGCCAUACUUUUGAAGUCCGCCAAAGAUCUUAAGAGUUGAUUUUAGUGCCAGCAGCCAGCAGCACUGCCCCUCUCAAAGAAGCUCAAGAUAUGCUCCAGGUUUAAUUACUAGUUCUCAGCUAGUCAUUCAACACAGGAUUUUACUGUUGAGACUUAAUGCUCAUGUUUCAAACCCAGGUUGACAGAGAGUGUUCACCAAGGACACAGUGUUCGCUCUGGAUGAAAAAUAUAUCGAAGAAAUUUCUGACACAGAAACCAAAAGAAUAAAAACGGCAAAAACUGACUAUAAUGACCAGAAACAGUACCGGGGCUUGUCAGCUACAGUCUGUUCAUUUCAUUUGUCCUCAGGGUUUAGCCAGUGGGCGUAUUUGUUGUAUUUUGAAAACUCUGCCAGGAGGCCAAAUUGCCCUCAUGUGAUGAUAAACUUGCACCAAAUGUUUUUGAGAAUCGAUUUCCAUGUCUUACUUGUCUCAGUAUUGAUUUUCAGACUUCACAAAAGAUUGAGCACAAUUUAAAGGUAUGUUCACGUAUUGAUGAAAGAUAUAACCAACAAAUUCAUUCAAGACUGAUGAUUGCGUUUUUUAAAAUGUGGAUAUAUGAAGGAAACAUUAUGUAGAGGUGGCUCCCUACAACAAAUGCCAGGGAUGAUCUUCAAAUUUGUCAGGUUAGAGCAGAAAUUCUGGCCUCAAGAUGUGAGAUUGUACAAAAUACUGUAUAUGAGGAGGACUCAGUUUGUGGCACAGAGAUAAUGUAAAAGAGUUAUAGGAUACCUAAAUGAAUCUUUCAUAAAAGCUUUCAAGACAACCACAGACUGAAGGGGAAGGGCUUUGGAGAUCAUAUUGAUGAGUAAAAUUCAGAUACUCUGAAGUCACCACACAUAAUGUGUGUUGUUACUGUGAUACAACACAUUAUAAAGUCCUUCUGAAGUCUUACAAGUGUGUAUUUGUGUGCAUGUGCAUUUGUACACCAAAUGAAAAGACCAGGGCAAAUCAUACAUGACCUGUGAACUCUGUGUGAGUGAACUUGUAUUUGUGUAAUGAAGCUGAAGGGUGAUCUUGUGUGUGUGUGUGUGUGUGUGUGUGUGUGUGUGUGUGUGUGUGUGUGUGUGUGUGUGUGUGUGUGUGUGUGUGUGUAGUGGAGGGCAUUACUAGAGGCUGGUCGUCAUGAAGGUUAAAGUCAUAUCAACCAUGUAGAUGUACAAGCUGCCUGACUGAAACAUUUUCAUCAUUUGACAAAACUAGUUACCUGAAGGUCAUCCAUCAGUAAAGUAAAAAAUUACGAUUAAAAUAACAUUUUGAAUAAUAUUGAGUUAAUCGUGGUUCAAUCAGCUAAGAGGCAAAAAAUGAAACUGUUGAUGCACAGUUGUAAUAUUGUUGAUUUGCAGUGAUAUUUAAAUGACCUUUUAAAAAGUGGGUAUUUCGAUAUCACAUCAUUGUGGAAGUUAUUAAUUCAGAUGCUUUGCUCCCCUUGAAGCAGGAUAAAAUCAGUGUACAAACUACAUAACUGUGGUUAUAUUGAAAAAGUCCUCUGACUUGUGUUAAAAUGUAGAAAGGAAGUUUGUAUUAAGACUCUUAUGAGGGUUAAAAUUCUUUCAAUUCAUCUUAUAAAUAUGUGUUACAGUACCUACACAGCAACGUGACAGACACAGGGUUAACUGAACAAAGAAAAACUACACUUUAUUUUCACAAGUUUUGUAACUCUAGCCCGUGUUGGAGGAUUAUUGUGAGAUUACUGAGUGGAGAGAGCUCUUGAAUGGGCUGAUACAGUUGGGGACCUUGUACCCAGGAUUUCCCUCGUCAUUCUAUGAUACAGUUUAUAUUUGUCGUUACAUAAGCAGUCUGGAACAAAAAAGCGACUCCAGGGGGCAGGAAUACGAAAGAAAUCUGGUUGGUGGGUCCAGCAAAGUGAAAAUAGCUUCAAUAGCCCAAAAUAGUUCGAUGUUAUGAAAAUCCUCACUCGCAAAUGCCAAAAACUCACCACCUACUCAUUUUCUCAGUUGUGUAAUCCCUUUGACCUUAACCAAGCCUGCUGAGAUUCAGUGACCCAGAACUACAACUUUUCUGCACCAAAGGUUGCAGAAGUUUACGGCAUACUGUUUCACUUUGACAAUAAUAAGGUUUUACUAGAACUGACCUGAAAAGAAAACACAGGAUGGCACCAGUAUUGAGGACAUGCACCACAGGAAUAGAAAUAACAUGACAUGCCAAUAGAUGUUAGGUUUUAAAAAGGCCUAAAACCAUAGAUUCUUAACAGGUCUAAAUCGGUUUACACCAGGUUUGCUCGACGGAUGAUGUGUUAGGUUGUAUCAUGUUUACAGAUCUGGUUUGUUACUCCAUGUGCCCGCUGCUGUAAACAGCAAACAGAGUCGGCACAGCAGAAGAGCUGCAGAGCAACAGAGCAGCAGAGCAGGACAGUCAUCACUGCGUGUCUGUCUGCCAGUGUUUGUGCCUCUGUGAGAUUAUGUAAGGAGCAGAUUAUGUAAGUCAGGAAAUUCACAUUAACACCUGACCUGUUGUGAUAUCCUGCUCUGGUGCAGCAGGUGAGACAGGUGGAGAGCCAGACUCUGGACCGGUCGCAGAAAAACGAGGCUAAACACAGAAAAAGAAAAAAAAAAUCACAUGGGAGAAGAGUGGAAGAAAAAGGGUCGGUGUUUAAUUUUGUGGAAUUAUUUAGAGAAGUUAUUUAAACCCUGUUGGUAUAUCACUCAUUUCUCACAGAUAGCCUGAAAAGACUCAUCUUCUAAAUCCCAACUUUCAAUAAAACAGCCUGAAAACAAAAAGCUAAACUGAGGCGGUUUUACUCACAACGGUACAAGCCGCAGCAGCUCAGGGAGCCGGCUGAAAUGCCCUGCACAUAUCGGGAGUGUUAAAGACCUUGACCGUUUUGUGGAGUUGGGGUCAGAUUGAGCUGUUUUAGAUUUUCCCUGAAAGAAAAUCACAAAGAAUAAAUGUUAUCAACCUGAAACCAACCUGAACUUUAGCCAGGUAAAUAACUCUCGAUCCUUUUAUCUACGAUCAACAACAGCGGCUGUGAAUUUACCUGCUAUGAUGCUAAUCUGCCACAUUUCUCCUCAGGGGUCAUGUAGCAACAAAGAAAAGAAGUAAAGUGAUUUAACAUUUUAGGACUGCAUUAAUUUAUCUACAUUUACUUAUAAUAUUUUGAAUAACAUCUCAAUCAUUUUGGAAAGCAACCAUCCAUUUGAGAUCACCUGCAGCUGCACUGACUUUGACUUAUUCGCUAAAACAUGAACUGGUUUACCAUGCUCUAAUUUCCUGUAUAGUCUUGAUUUCUUGAUAUGAUUCUCCAUCUAAUUAAAGCAAGUGUUCCAUCAGUAUUUUCCAUUUGAAGAUCAAUACUUACGAUGACUUGAAGCAGAUAAAAGCAAAUUAAAAAAGUCGAUAAACACACAGAGGAGCAUCCAUUGUUCCUUGUUUUCAGGCGACUAUGUGAGACAAGGCUUGUGCAGCAAUUUUCAGAGUGUCUUCAUAGUUCAUCAUCACGGGCCUGUAGUGUGUCCAUGUGUGUGCGCACUCAUGUUAAGCCUGAGGGGCGGCAGACAGAACGACAGAAAAGAAGAUAAGCUGCGGUGACCUCCCCUCCUCUCUGCCUGUUUAACCUUGCUGUCUGACCCUUGGGACUGGUGCUUGCUAUGCUGUGCACUCCGCAGUGAGAGUGUGAUAACAAAUUUAAGCUGUAGAUGCUGCAGGUUGAAUACAGACUUUCAUCUGUGUGUUGACAAAUGUGUUUUUUUUUUUCCUCACCAGUAAUCGCAUUGAAAAUCGUAAAGACAAAUAUUUCAUUUGCCUUUGCUGUUCAGGUUGUUUUCUCGUGUGCCAUAUAGGACAAAACCCCGCUGACAUAAAACAAAGACAGACAGAGAAUAAAAAAAGGCUUUACAAAUACCCGCCCUGUAUGCUUAGACCAAUCCUCCAGUUGUUAAACUGAUCGGUUGACGAUUUGUUUAUUCUGACAUGGUAUCAUAUGACAAGAUAAUUGAGCCAAUUCGGGCCUAAUCAACCCCCACCCACAAAACAAUAGACAGCUGGGGUGCAAGCCAACUGUGACAACUGAAACAAUCCACGUUUUCCCAAUAGUUUUAUAAAAAUAAUGAGUGUUUCUCACCCUCUCAGUUUCAGUUGCACUGAGAACCCAGUUUUCCAAGCUAAAACUGAUAAAAAGCUAUUUCAAAGCAAGAGAGACUCAGUGGACUUACAAAAGUCUCCCCAAAUACAAACCAUUUCUCAAGGUAGGCGAGAAUUACAUCUCUAUAGAUAUUCGAGUUCUAGACUGCACACAUUUUAUAUGAGCGUGUGAAAAAAUUGUUGCGCUGGCAAAACGAGCACUGGCAUUGUUCAUCUGUGGAGUAGAGAUGUGGAUGUUUGGAUAAAUAAGCUCCUCCUGUACACAAGUUAGACUCAGGCUGUUCAAGCUAAAAUGCAAAUACACUUGUUAUUCCAGAUGUGGCAUUUGUAUAAGGAGCUGCAGAAUGCCUGUAGGUUGACUCAUGCAUUCAGCAAUACUGCUGACAGUUUAUGCACACUUGCAUUGCUUAAGGCUGUUACUGUUUUGCAUUUAGCACGUUAUCAUCAAUAUUUUUCAUUCUUUGCAAUAUUGCAAGAGAGGUGUUCCCCUGGUCCUGCCUUAGACAUAGACUGAAGAGCUUACUGCAAGAUGAAAAUGAACAUUUCUGUUCUACACCAACUCUUAUCAAAAUAUAAGAGAAAAUGCAAUUUAAUAAGAGCUCAAUGUAGGCAGAGUCAAACGUUAGUUUGUGUCAUUUCUACCAUACAUUUGUACAUUAAAAUGGGAGGACUUAUGUUAUCUACAAAGACGAGAGAGUUAAUUUGACUUGUACUCAUGAGUUUGGAUAUUUACAAGAAGGUUCAGAGACACUGCAAAAAGACAAAAAGACCAGUUUAAAGUUACCAACACACAAGUUUCUUCUAUGAAAAUAUUAUCAGAUGAUAAAGAUAUUACAACUUAAGAGAAAAAAAAUUAAAAAUAACACAGAUAGGCUAGCUAAUACUUAAAACGCAAAGAAAUGUGAGAAGAACACAGAAAUACUCUGUGAAGCUACAACAACACAAACAAACAGACACUUACAACAGGGGGGAUGGGGAGGUUUGUAACCAAAACUGUCACUGUAGAGCUGCUUAGUCAUUGACGUAUUUAUUUUGACGAGUUUUUGGAGCAACUUCACAGAACUGGACAACUGCUCCAAGCUGACAGCCUCAUUUGCAUUUACGUCGGCUAAUGUAGGCUAAGCCUCCUCAAAAUUUCUGCGAGGGAUUGUACAUAAAUUUAAAAUUACCUGAAUCAUCAGAGCAGUGUGUGUGUGUGUGUUUCUGUAUCGCCUUUCACACUAGUCAGAUUUAUAUUGCCUAUCAUAUUGGGCAUACAGCACCAUAUCAGCACCUAAACCUGCCAAUUACAGGCCAUCGAGUGCUAUUUUGGAAGUUAUAGCUAGCUAGUCGUGUUAAAUUCAAUCAUUUUAAAGUGACAAAAAAUGCUGCUGUAAAGUAGCCAAUUAAUAUUUUUGAUAUAUGAGAUUGAUUUCAUGUUUGAUUUCUGAAUUAAACUUCUGUUUGCUUUCUUUCCUGACUAUCAAUAGUGGGUGGUGCCUCUAUCAUCAAGUGCACAACUGUCAUAUUUUGAGAUUUAUUCAACUGUGGGUCAUCAUAAAACUGUUUGCUGUAUGGAGGACUACCACCAAAACAAAGGUAUUCAGUAACAUGUUUUAAUUAGCUCCUCUUCAAAGGUGUCUUAAAAGACUGAAUUAGAUGCUGAUUGCUACAUAAACCUAAAAAAUCAAUGCUGACGGGAAAAAACUAAAACUAUUUCUACAUUGAAAAUGUGAAAGUCUGUAAUUGCUGCCAGUUGAUCUAUUUUAGAUGAGGCUGUUCACAGAAGGCCUUUGCUUGUACUCUCCAAUGAUAUGACAGAUGGUAAAUAUUUAACAAUGGGCCCCAUUGAGGGGGGAAAUUUGUGGAGAAUUAGAACUUUUUCGAAGUUUGAAAAACAUUUUUCUAAAAUUUUCAAAUCUCUGUCAUUUUCUCAUGAGGAUAAAAUUGCGAGAGAAUUAUUUGUCAGACAUACAAACUGUCGUGUUAUUUUAAGAGGUCAUAUUACAAGAAAUUAUAGCAAAGUCAUGGUAUUUGCAGACUACAGUCAUCGUUUUAUGAGAAUAAAGUCAUAGCAUUUGUUCAAUAUGAGCAGUUAGCUGCUUGUACCAGAACAAGGAGCGUGAAGCAAAUCAUUUUAUUGUUCUUUAAGUGUUGGUGCAUCAGCAUCCAAGUGUUAAAAGUAUCAGGAAAAAGAUUGUGCAAAACGUUGUACUGUGUGGUAUCUCUUUUCAAAUCAGCAUCAAUAAGCAAAUCGUUCACUAAGUUAAUGAACCUGAUAUUUUACAUACUAUUCUUGUGAGUAAACGACAGAGUAUUAGAUAUAAAACAUUUUUUCUCAGUCAUAAUAUAUAUAUACAAAAGACAAAACAGGGAACUCGAUCCACAAAAGUAUCCAAAGUGUCCACACAACAUUACUGUUGUCCAAUUAAGGCAUGUCAGUUACAUCAAUUACACAAAAAACAAGAACAUUGGUACAAGUUUACAGUUUAUCCUAGGCUUGUACUGCAGAUAUACUUCUUCCUUCAGCUGUUUCAUAAUUUAAAGGGAAUCAAAAGCUGUACACUGCUGUUACCUCUCUACCCUUAAACUGCAAGGCAGCAUACCUUGGAUCCUUUAUGCCAACAAGCCAACCAAUCUUACUGUCACCCACUCUGUUAAAAUCCCCUCAUCAUUGCCGUGAGGGGGAAGCAGAAAGUUUUCAUGAAUUGCCUAAAGCAACAUUUUUUUGAGUUCUGUGGGAGUUUCCUUCUAAAUACUUCAGAGCAGAAUGACAACCAGAGUUGCUUUCUUCUCUCACUUUUCCAAAAUUGCAUUUUUCCCUCCUCUGCCUCUAAAUAAUAUCACUCACAAUGUUUUUGUCAUUUUAUAACAUAAUGAAAUGUUCCACGUGUGGAAUUUUCUUUUACAACCACAUUUGAGGGGUGACGUAAAGUGAGCUAGGAAUCCCAACAAGGUUAGACAAGAUGUAUGAAUAAAAUCAGUUAUUACAGCUGCAGGUUCUUGUUUAAAGCCUAGUCUAUACCUUGAAAUCACAGCAACAGAUCAACUGAAAUAGACAGAUGAUUGCCUAGAAUAUAGAGUCCAUUGAAAUGCACAGGUGAACUCUGGCCUGAUAGCAGGAGAAUGUGCUGCCCAUCAAUGAGCCCAGACCAAUCAAAAAGUAACUGUGUUGACAGAGCCAAAUGAUUGAUUGAAAAAAAAAUUCAAGCAAUUUCACACCCGGUUGUUAUAUUAUGCUGUUAUCAGCAAAAUGUGAUUAUUUUUUUGGACUGGGCCCGUGGCAUUAAGGUGAAAUAGUGUAUAAAACAUGCACAUCCAAACUUCUAUGGACAGGUGCUGAGUCAAGCAUAACAUUAGCCACAGACAGACAGACAGACAGACAGAAGAAAAUGGCUUUCUCUGCAGAGCUCCAAUAUACCAGGAAUUUAAUUCACCGGGUGAGUAAUGUGUAGAGCAAACCAUCAGACUGCGUAACAAUCAGAUUAUAUGAUAAGCCCUAAACACACCCUAUGCAUAUCAAAUUCUGUGUCAAAAGUUAUCAUAAAGGAACAAUUAACACCAUGUAAACAUUCAAAUUCAUAGACAGAAACACUGCAAAACCACAUAUAGACAGUAAAACACCAUAUGUACAGCUUGUAUUUACACAAUUGUAAUUGCUUUGGUCCACUGAAGUCAGAAAUAAAAGUUUUGUUGGUGUAAGAGAAGGUGGGGGGGUCUCACCAGAUCUCACCAGCAUGUUUCUGAGAUGAUGGCAUCAUGUCAAUGGUCCUUUCAGUGCAAGGAUUAAUUUGAAAGCCAUUAGUGUUAAGGCUAAAACAUACGGGAUGAUACAGGAUGCGUAUUUGGAGUGUGGCAGCAGCAUUGCGUAUCACACAGCAAAUAGGUUACCGUUCUAAUCAAUGCAGCAAAGCAUACAGGACACGUAUCAGCUCUGUCGCAGCUUCAUAUCGAGAGCAGCACUGCUAAAGAUAUGUGGCAAGUCUAUUUUUGCUGCUCUAUGCUUCCAAUGAGCAUCAAUCCACACAGAGAAGAUCGUUAUAGACAGGAAGUCAAGCACGAAAACCGCGCAUGCCAUCAUGUAUUUCAAAACAAAACACCAUGCGAACUCCUGACCGUGUAUCAGUUCGCGUAGAUGAGAAAUACUUCCUGGUUAUGGAUUUGUCAGUAACACUGAACAGUCCGAUGGCCAAUCCCUGAUCCAUGUGACCCCAACAAGACUUUUAACUGCUAACUCUGUCUGAAGGUAACAGCACAGCAUAAAGGAACAUAAUUUCCUCAAUUAAACACGAGUAAACCUGCAAAAACUGAAACUGUAUAAUUAUGUUGCUUUUGCACAUAUAGUAGAGGCUCAACAGUCACUGAAUUAUAUCCAAAUUAGCAGGAAAUAGACCAAAGAAAGGCAAAACAACCUGUUGUGGACAUGUUGUUUCCUCUAUACUGAUCCCAUCUGACCGCGGCUGCACUACGCUGCUGCUACGCUGCUGCUACGCUCCAAAUACGCAUCCUGAAUGCGAUACCCAGCGCUGCUCUAUGGAGUACAUACGGAACGCGCUCAAUACGGAUCCUGUAUGUUUUCUGCUUUAGGGUAACGGUCUCACUCCCUUCUGCAACACUGCUUUAGUCUCUAAUUGUUAAAGAAAUGGACAGGCUGCAUCGGGAUCACACUUGGCACAAAUCACAAACUAAAACAGGCAGUUAUUGUAACACAUCAUUUCUGGAUAUUGAGGUAAAUGUUAGAGCAGCUUUACAACAUGUGUUUGUGUGCGCCCCCUAACCCACUCACUGUGGUUGGGAGGUAUAGUAAUUCUAAUUGCAGUUGCCACCAGAGUUUCCAUCCACCUUAACUCCAUCCCAUGCUGAGCACCCCUUUGCGUGUGCACAUGGCUCAAUUUUCUUGUUAGACAUUAUACCAUCUCAAAUCACUGUGUUACAUAAAGCUGCGUGUGUAUUUAUAGUGAUCUCUCUCAGCCGAUUUGGUUUUCCCUCAGUAUGUGUGUGUGUUUGAAUGUGAUGUUGUUUGACCAUUAAACAGGGUGGCAGACUGCGGCAGAACGCCUGUCAUGCAAAGACAAGAUCCGACACAUCAGUCACAUUGGGUUCGCAGCGGGAGAAAAGUAAUGGAGUUCAGCACCAGGCACAUAUGCACAUUAACAGACAUUCACGCACGCUCGGACACAUACUGAGAAAGAAGAUUUACUAUGGAUGAAAUCUGAGCCAAGUGAAGCAGCUGUUCAGGAUGUUUGUCUAAUCAAGCAUUCAGAACAAUACUCCGAGUUAAAAUCUAACAGUGAUAUUAUUAUGAGAGUGAAGCAGUUCAUCCAACAACAGUUUGUCUGAACGGCUCAGUUCAUCUGUUGUUGUUAAAACUUUGGGUGAUGACUGUUAUGACGGGUUUUGAUUUAUCUCCACUCAGCAAAUAGGUACAAACUUGCAUACUUCUUAAACAUCAUUUCAAAAAUACAAGAACCGGUGCAUUUUUUUUUUUUUAAUUCAUCAUACAAGCCUAAAAUGUAAGUCAUGUCCUGGAUAAAUUUGCAUAUUUUAAAUGUAUGGCCACAUUUUAACCCCAAUCUCAUUAUAACUUGGUGAUGGCACGUCUCUUUAUUUACAUAAUCCCCAUAAAUCUGAAUCCAGAGUACACGAGUCAUCAGUUUUAAUAAACAUUAUCGACGUCUCUCCCACAUUUUCAUGCAUAAUAAACUGCUGCCUCUGAAGCACACAUCUGUAUAAAACAGCCUUUUUAUGUCCACUUCAUAUAUCACACUGUGAGCAAUAUGGCUUCAUGGGUCUGCAGAAAAAAAAAAAAAAAAAAAAGCAAAUGAUAUUGAAAAUAUAAUCCUAAAAUUCAAGAAAUUCAUGUUUACAUACCAGCCAACUCUCCAGUUUUCAGGGUUUUCCUAUAUUUAAGGGCCACCCACCCGUUUUAUUUCUCUCAGGGAACUCCUCGGAUUUUCCAACCCUCCAACUCGGUUAUAAAAAAAUCCACAUCGCCUAAAACGAAGCCUCCUUGGAUUCACUCCAACCCACUGACAGCUGUCACAGCCAAUAGGAAGUAGCGAUAGUUUUGUGAGUUCUGGCAUCUUUAGGGGCUAUUCAAGAUCUCAUUAAGAACUAGUCUGUCCCAUGUCACUAUUAUCAAAGUACUCCUUGUGUAGUCAUGUUAGUGUUUUAAGACCUGUAGAGUCCAUUGAUCCAGUAGAUGAACAGUCCAUUUUCAAGUACAAACAAGGACACCUUUUCUACGUGUCCAGAGCAGAGGAAAGUUGGCAGACUGUGGUUGGAAGCAAAGUCGGUUGUCUCCCAGUUGUAAGGUUUGAUCCCAGGGCUGUCCACGGGCCAAAGUGUCCUUGAUCAAGACACGUGCCCCCCACUGGCUGCGCCCAGUGGUGUGUGAAUGAAAUAAGUUAAAACUGAUGGGCUCUAUACAAAGCAGCCUCUGUCAUCAGUGUGUGAACGUGGUGUAAAUGGAUCAAUGUGACAUAUAAUGUUAAAGCGCUUGGAGCAGACAGAAGAAUAGAGAAAGCGCUAUAUAAACAUGAACAACUAACUGUUCACAGUGAACUAAGAAAUUCUCUAUAAAAUGUAGUCCAGAUGCCUCAUACCGUUCCUGCACACUGGUGACCUGACCAGCUACGUAUUCAUUAGUAAGUCAUGCUGAAGCAAAAUUAUCUAGCUCAUGAUAGAAAAAGUCAGUGUAGGAAAAUGACAUUGCAGAUAUGAUGUUUUUGCACACUAAGACACUCAGUUGGUCUACAUAUGUUUUAUGGUCUGACUGAAACUGGACUUUUAAAAUACAUAUAAGCACACUAGUCUGAUUAAAAUCACACUAAAAUCAAACUUCUUGUAGUUGGAUUUACAAACCCGAAUAAUGCGAUUGGAGAUCAACUUUCUCUGUCAUAUUUACAGCUCUGUUAAACUAAAACUGGCCUUAGCCUUUUGUGCAUAUUGUAGUGUUUGCACACCAGGCUCUAAGCUGGUUGUUGAAUAGCAUGGAUGCGUUGCUAAGAAGCCAGGUAGUAAACAAAACCUGGGCCGAUGAAGAAACAGCAUAAAUAAAACGAAACUUUCCUGACAAACAGCACAGAGCUGUGAAAGUGACAUACUGUUAGCCUCUUGCUAACGCAUCUUGCUAGCCUACAUCAUCUGAUAGUAAUGAGCUGGAAGAGGACAUGCUGCUACCUACCAUAACAGAGACAGACGUGCUUCGGUCAAUGAUUCAAUGAUUUUGCAUAUAAAGUGGGACAAGGACAGUAGUCCAGUUGAAUCACCUGUUUAUGUAAAGGUUAUUUCGUGUAAACAACAGAUCCACAAACACAAUAGAGUCAGUGACAUACACAACAAACCAUUGCAGCAAAUGGUUCAUAUUUUGAUGAAGGAGGGAGAUUAGACUGAGUGUAUUACUGUGUGUUUUACAGAGAAGUGUGAGGAUAUUUUUCUCUGUUAUUUUUUCAAUCUGUUUUACUGUUCAUCUAUGGAUUUUAAAAAAGGUAGCCCGUAAGAUUGACCACAAACAUCUCCUCCUCCACAGACCUCCACCACAUCCAGAGUCCAAUGAAAAACAGAAGAGGUGGGCCUUCUCCUCCCUCCAUCUCAAGAGCAGAUUCAACCUACAACAUCCCACAGCAGCGUUCCCUGAAUCAUUCCGUCUUUGUUCAGUUUUUAAAAACUAAAUCAGAGAACCAGAAAGACAAGUGAGUAUGAACCUUGUCACUUUUUUUUUGUUUUAAUGCAUAAUUGCACAACUUAUGCUCUUAAUAUUAAGCACUUGGAAGCCAUACUUGAAGGUAUCACUUCUCAAAAUGACUGGGAAAAGUAAAAGUUGUCUGUUCCAAAAUUACUAAAACCAUUUUGGUACUUAAGUAUCAAAUGUAUUUGGGUUUUAAUUUUACUUUACAAUUGAAAAUACUAUAGAAAAAGUAAAUGAUAUUAACAAUAAUAAUAAUAAAAAAGUCAGAAUUACGAUGAUUACAAACAUUUUGUUCCCAACUACAUAACACCAGUUUUAGUUAUUAGAGGCCUCAGGCAGAGUCAACUGUCUCCCUUUUUAGUCGACGAAGCCACAGAGCCCGGCCAGGACAGAGCUGAGUGUGAAUUAUAAAUAAGCACAGACAGGCUGUAAUAACCAGGACCUGAUUAUCAUCGUCCCAGAGAGUAACAUCAUAACUCAAAGUUACCGCAUCUUAUUGGUUAGACAAAAUGAUUAUGUAAGAUCAUUACCCAUGUAAUAGCUGUCCUUCCACCACAGUUAUAAAGUGUACUUCAACUCACCACACUUUUGCAUCACUGAUAUUGAUUUAAUGAUCUCGACACUUUAACUCUAGAGAGGCUUGUAAAGUUUUGGAUCAUAAAACUCUAUUUAAUGUGCUCUGGCACCUUAUUCAAAUUCAAAAUGCAUAUUGUAAUUCUUAAUAACAAGCUACUUAUAUUUGUGUGUAUCCCUUACUUACAGGAACUCUAUGAGCGUCAGGAGAAGGUGUUGGUUUUGUCAGUAGCUAAGAACGGAUCAGGGGUACUGAAAUGUGAGAUCACCUCUAAAUUUCCUUCUCUGGACAUUUUACACACAAAUUUAUUCUGCUUAAGUUUCAUGACUAAGACCCAAAACCUUUCCCUUAUCAAAAUACACAGGGUUAGAAGCUGAAGGGGGAGACUGAGCUUAAAUAACUCUGUGUCGAUUCAGUGCAGCGUUUGUUGGAUGAAGUGGUGUCAGUCGUGUCAGUGGUGUGCAAUUGCAGGUGGCCUCACUCACCUUCCUGUUGUCAGGCCAGUUUCAACAAAAAGGACCAAGCUGAGUGGCAUCCUCUGUGAGUAAAACACCAAAUACCAACAGGUACCUGUUAUUACUUCACUUUGAAAAGCUAGUUCUGUCAUGACUCUUAACUGAUGAUGUGUUAAAAGAAAUCUGGUUCUCAUCAUAACUGUAUUAUUAGAUAAUGGAGAGCAACUGGAACUAAUGAUGCAUUGAUUCAUACAUGAAAUCAUCAGCCUUUUCACUGUGACGUUUCCACCUUUAUUGUUAAAUGUUUUACACUUUCUACAUAUUAGGUUGUUAAAUAGUCUUAGGGAGCAUCCAAUACUUUUCAGGUAUGCAUCAGUGCAAUACUGACUACACAGUUCCUCAAUACAGAGAUUAAUGUUUAACUUUGUAACCUAUAAGCUUAAGAAAUUUAAACAAGAAACCUUUAUGUCUGCAACUUCCGAGUCUAUAAAUAAGACACCAAACUCUAAGGUUAAGACCACAAAUUACAGUAAACAAAAACAGGCAGCAAUUAAGCCUGACUUCAACUGCUGAGGGAAUGUGAUUUGUGCAGCACCUAGAUAACACACCACUUUGAUAUGACAUAACCUGAACACAAAUUGUUGGGUUUCAUGGAUCGGGGAGAAGGUGGUAGGUGGAGCUGGAAUAGUCAGUAGCUGCUGCUGGAUCCAACAGAGCCUGAGAGGGAGCUCUUUGGUAUGAAAAAGCACAAGGCUGAAGAACACAGAUUGCUGAGAGUCACUUAAACUCGGCUAUUACUACUGAGUGUAUGCUCAAAAACCCUUAAUGGCAAUGCAGUUAGUGGACAGGUAUCCCAUAAAUGCACUAUGUGUAAAAUUGUUACACAGCUGAAUGAAGGGUUGUUUUAAUUUGGGGUUUUCUUUCUAGGUGACUUGACCUAAUGAGGAGCCAUCAAACCAUGACAAUUCAGAUAACCUUCUUUUCAUGUUAUCACCACAUUCAAAAUUAGUCUCACUGUUCCCCUCAUCCUAAUAAUGUCCUGUCAUACAUCAGUCCUCCUGUCCCCUCAUCCAUCCUAAUCUUCCCAUUCUUAAUUUGCUUUUGUUUGCUCUCUCUCUCUCUCUCUCUCUCUAUCUCUCUCUCUCUCUCUCUCUCUCUCUCGUGGUUAAUCAUUCUGAUUGGAUUGAUCAAUAUCAGGAAGUAAGGGGUUGCACGACAAAGCAUUGGUUUCUUAUUUGUUUCACUGUCUCAGUGUCAAUACAAAACACAACUAUACAGCAUUUUAGACAUUUGUCUGAGUAUUUGCUGAGGAGGAUGCGAGAGCAGGAUCUAAUCUUCCUUAAAUCUAGAAGUCGUUGAUCGAAUGGAUGCAGACCAUGCACUUUGACAUCCAGUCCUGAAAACACAGGGAGGAACAGAACACAUAAAAGUGAUUAACAGAGUGGGACCCUGCAAGCUCAUCAAAUGUGCAUUUGCAAUGUCAGCUGCAGGUAUAUAUUUUAUCAGGACUAUCGGCUGCUGCAUUUUAUUUGUAACAGGUCUACACAUGAUUAACAAGGCUUCCUCUGGGGUGAGGGACACAAUCAUUCCACACAGUCCUGUGGGAAUUUUAUAUGUAUUACUCACCUUGUCCUGUUAUUUAUUGCUACCAUCUAAACCAUCUGGUUGGGUUUGUUUAACAUGGAAUGAAGUCGAUAUUUUGUCAGCUCACAUCUGGAAAUAUUCACAGAUAAAUAAAUAAACAUAACCCCACCAAACCACUCUCAAGAUGGUGGACUCUUCAGAGCUGCCAUUUUCAAAUACCAUUCAUUGUCUUCUAGUUUUGUUACCCAAAUCUUCCAUUAUAUAUUUAUUUCUUUGGAUUAGUCCCGUUUCUUUACAAUGCAUACAUUUGCACUGUGCCUUUAGACGUGUUGAGAUUGUUCGACGGAGGAUGGAGAAGACCCAAGGUGUUUUUCUCCCUUCUGUUUUUACACUCUCGUUAUAACCCGGGUAAAAGGCCUCUCAAAAGGCAGGAGGCAGGUUCCAUGGGGGGAGAAUGGCAGAGGGAAGAAAAAGAUUGUAUAUAGGAGGGUAGGAGAUUGCACUACAGGAGGAAAAAAAAGAAGAGAGGGUUGAGGGAAAGAGGGGUAGAAAGGGGCAGCGAGGAAGGGACGAGAGGGAGGGAGAGUGCAGGUUGUUGGCUAAGCUCCAAUGAGCUCAUUGAAGAAGACCCUGCUGUCAACUUGAAUCAAUGUGACAGACAGUAGACCUGCGACUUGGGGGCCUGCUUAACGCAGAUGCAGUGGCAGGGAUACACAUGCACACACACAAACAUACACAUACAUAAAGUAACACAUGUUUAACUGUAUGCUGUUCAUGUUACACACUCUGGAUCCCUAAAAGGUGGCGGGUGGAUUAAAGCAGUUGUCAGUGUGUUUAUGUUGACAUGUAAACAAAGCAUUUCACAAAGUGUAACUGUAUUAAAUAUGGCGUGGCAUUGCAGACACACAGCAAAAAACGGCAGCAAGUUUACUUCAAGUAUUUUUCCUGCAUUACUGGCUUUUUUUCUGUUUAAUUGCUGUGAGGCCUGCUACACACAUAUACCCCUUUUCUACCAAGCCAGUGCUAGUUCUAGCUCUGGGCUGGUGUAGUGCUGUUUCAUAGCUGGUUCAACUUGCAAACCGUUGAAGAACUGGCUUGCUUUUUCCAUCGACUGGGGCCCCAAAAGAGCCACAUCAUUGUGUCACAAACAUCAGGGAAUAGGUCUGUUAUUUCCCUGCACAACUUCUUGCAGCACAAAGACAAUGGAUGACUUCUGAGUCUGAUUUGAAGUGCUGCUCCCAACAUGACGAUCAUUCAAAACAUAAACAGAAGGUCCAGAGAAUUAGUUCUGCCUGACAGGGUGUUUUGAGCUGUUGUUAGCCUCAGCCCUUUGGACUUGACAACUCUGCUCCUGACAUAAACAGUUCUUUCUUCUAGCCCAGCAAGGAGUUGAUGGCAUCCUAGAACCAUUUUUCUCUAGCCCAGAGUCAGUUUUUUGGUUGUGAAACAUCAAAGAACUGGCUCCAAAUUGGAAGCGGCUUGGUAGAUAACAAAAAAGCUGGUCCAGACCAAAGUCUUUUAACAAAGACCCAAUGUAAAGAUGGGAUCGGAUUGAGCCCCAUCUUGUGAGAUCAGACCCCCUCCCAUCCCAUCUUCAACCACAUGAGUGAAAACCUUUAUUUAUCAAGUUACAGUGGAAAGACAGAAACCUUGAGCAGAACUGUGAGUCAGUAACUGUGCUCCACUGUUUUGGUGCCUGUUGCCAGUUGUAAGGUAGGACCAUUGACCGAUUUUAUUGAUUUUAAAAAAGAUAAUUGACUGACGGCUCUGCUGACAAUUGCAGGCCCAAUAAGCAGAGUAAAGAAGAAUCAGUGUAUAAUUUCUCAAUCCAUUUUUUAAAAAUAAAGCCAACAAUAACAUUAAAAACAAGAGAACAACACUUAUUUUUGAUAGCUGUUUCCAAAACAUAAUUGAAAAAAUGAAUAACAACUCAUUUUCCCAAUUCCCUGUUUUGUGUUCAAAUGUGUGUCAGACGCACAGUUGGAGACAGUGAUUUUGUCAUCAACAGAUAAGUUUGUGUGCUCACAUCUUUAUCAUUUACAAACAUUCAGGCUUUUAAUUAUUUUUUAUAACUUGCUCAGUGGUAUCAGGCUGUAUAUUAUCUGUAAUUGCAGUAGUGUCCCCUGGGCUAGGUCUACAGAAAUAAGGCCAUACCAUCCCUACAACCCACAAAGCAACGGCAAACGGCAGUUUCUCUGCUAAUAUUAGAGACAUAAACUGACAUUAUUGGGAGCAAGUCUGAAGAAAGUACCAGACUAAAAACUACUAGUGAUAUCAAAGGGAAUGACACAAGAACAAUGAGUGCACUAAAGUAAUAAUAACAUGGAAAUGUAUCCUAACACAUCAAAAGUGGAGCAAGAUCAUAUUUGUGCAUAAGGUCUGUAGCUUGAAGAUUUUAAUGUUACUGUAAUUUGACUGUAUUUCAAAUAUGAAAUGUGUUUUUUCGUUUUCUUGUUCUUUUUCCCUUUAAUUUGAAAGAAGAGUGAACGAAUGAUACACGGAUUGAGAGGAAAUGUCAAAGGAAAACAUGACAAAUACCGGCACAAGACUUAAUGAACUUUUUAUAGCCAUGAGUAUCUGCUUCAGAUCAAUACAGGAAUCUGUUCCUGUUUUGACCUUAAAUAUCACAGCAGGCAUCAAUAAAGGCCCGUUGUUCAGGCAAGGGGUGGGACAACACAACCAUAAAGACAUUUAUGAACACAUGUACAGUCAUGAUGAGGCAAACACACUGAUGUUUACAAAUGUAGCCUGAAAUGCCAGCAGAUGUUCACAGACUGACAUACGAAUAGUGUAUUUGCACAUUUACAGGCCACAUUAGUACACACAUAUAUUCCGAUAUGCAAGUGUAUAGAAAGAAAUAACUUGUUCGUUACUCUAGGAUAUCUCCCCAGCUAAAAUAAUGCACACUGCUCCGACUCAUACCUCUGUCUAAUGGGGGCCAAAGGAGCAAUCUGUCUGCAGCUCCCGUGCCUGUGUGUAAGUGGACACUUGUUCUUGUUCUCUCUUAUCACAUUGUUUCAGAUAAUGAUGACACCUCUGACCCCACAUUUCAGCGAGCCCUCCAGGACCUUCCAACCAAUCUAGCUGGAGUUCUACUAUAAAGGAAAUCCUGUUAAAACUCUCACCAAGUGAUUAAAAACCCCAAUGGGAACCCUGGUGGGGUAUGAGAUCCAGAUCACUUCUUCAGAACAUCUGAGGCAGAAAUAAUUUGUUCCUAUCUGUGACCAUGUGGGUUUUAGCGAAAGAAGGUCUCUGUAUGUCCUUGAGUGUGUCUUCGUGUGUGCCGACCACAAGACCAAAAGGUUAAAUAGAGACAGUAAAGCCAUUGCAAUAUCCCAUUUCAUUAAGGCAAACUAUUCAAUAGCUAAAUAUCGACCUUAUCAGAAUUAGUUAACCAUAUUUCUCCUAGCUCUCACUCUUGAGCACACAUUCGAUAUUUAACAUCCUGUCCUUUUAUACACUCACAGACUCUUGAAAGGAUUUCCGAUGUUAAAUACGAAGCUUCAUUUAAAGUACACUCUGUGCCUUCAUAUCCCAUUUGUUUUUUGGUACAAAG